AGCUGCAUCUCCACACAAUUUUAUAUUAUCAAUUUAUCACUCUGCUUUCGUGAAGGGAGUUCAAACUAACUUCAAGAUUGAACCAUCUUUUGGAGUUGAAGCCUCGCAGCUUUAUCCUGAUGUCAAGUACACUACAGUUGAUGAGUACCUCAAUCAGUUUGUGUAACCCUUCUCUGUUUCCAGCUGCAGCUUGCAGGAUCUUGGACUGUUGGUAAAUAAAUAAUUGGCUUGUUGCCAUCUUUGGUUUUAUAUGUAAAAAUUAUGGUUGUUGGCCUUACUUUCUUCUGGUUGUCCAUGGAAUUUGUUAGACCAUAUUAUGUUUGCUAUGUCAGUGAUCAAAUGAAGUAGGCCAUGUACUUGAUUUGAGAGUAGUAGUUAUAAAGCCAUCAUGAUCAGGUGGGUGCGUAGGUUGGGCUUCUAUUAGGGUGCGUGUGUUGGGCUUCAGGGGCUUGUGAUAUGGGUUCGACAGCCCCUAACGGGCAGUCAUUAUAAAAAUAAUUAUAGAGUUACAAAUCUAUGUAAAAAGCAAAAAUUAAAAGUAAUUUAUCAAUAAAAAUAAUUAAAAUUAAUAAAAAGUAGGUAUGAUAAUUCAGAAAUUAAAUUAAAGAUAGAAUUCUAAAGAGUUGGAUAAUCCUCCAACUAAACUAAAGAUCUAGUACUUUUGAGAGCAAAUUUAAUUAAAGAAAAGGAUAAGGAAAAACAAUAGAAUAAUAAUAUUAAAAAAUUGCAAAUCUUGGUCUUUUUUUUUUACGAUGAUGUUGAAUUCUUAUAAAUUUAAUCUUAUCUAUAGAAUUAUUUAGUUACUGUAUGUCAAAAUUUCCUAUAAAGAUGAAGAAAAAUUAUAUUAGGAGAAGAUCCAAAUCCGUUUAACUGAUGCAUCAUCGACAACAUGAGUACAACAUUUUCGAAUAAACAAAAGAAACUCGUUUUAUGUGUGAACCAGUUCCAAAAUAAAGAGCAGACUAUUGGAAGGAGACAAAUACUACAAGAAGAACAAAACAUUCUACAAUUCCUACAUGAGCCCGCAACAAUUAAUUAUUAACUCGACAUUCAUUACACUUUUUCUUUAAUUUGACAAAGAAACCAAAAAUAAGAUAAAAUUGACUAAGAAAUAAAAAAAUGACAAAAAUCUUUUUGAAGUUUUGCCAGUUCAGCCAUGCACGCUUAUCUUUAUUCACUUGUUUCCUUUCUUUCCUUUCUUUCCUUUCUUUCCUUUCUUUGCUGAAGCCUUCACAGAUCCUUUACCUUUCUGAGCCUUGCCAAUUUUCCCCUUCUUCAAACCACCUGGCCUUGCUGGAUCCACGUGUCCUUGCAUCCUUUUUCAUUCGUGGAUCAACAAGAAUCUCCCCCUUUCCAGCUCUCUCUUGAACUCCUUGCUUUGCGACCAUGUAUUCUUUGGUAGGCCUUUUGGGUAUAGUUGUCUUGUAUAAUUGUUCAAUUUGAUUCCUCUUCGAACGAUCAGAGAUGUCCGCUUAGUCUGAUAUGACAUUUGCCUUCUUGCGAACCUUCUCAAGAUUUCGCAUGGCAACCCGUAUCUUUCGAGCUUUGGUCUUAGCCACCUUCUUGGCAGUAUGGGUGGGCGAUUCGAUUUUGGGAUAAACUUUUGGUUUCGUAUCGGUUUAGAUUAAAAAAUAAUAUAAAAAAAUAUUUAGAUUUUAAGGGAAAAAAUCCGAACCGAGACUCACCUAUCGAUUUUGGCUCGGUUUCAGUUCAGUUUUGAUUCUCCUAAUAGUUUUAUUUUGCCUUAUUGACUUCCGGUCAAUGACACUUUUGAAAAAUUUACAAAAAAAAAAAAAAUGGCCAUAACAAAAUUUCUAAAUGCAAAUAUUUCCUAAACAUUAGGCUAUACUAAAUUUUUUUAAAAGGUAGGGAUCCAAACGAUAUUAUCCCUCUACUUCAUCUUCAACCUUCGUCACUAGGGAUGGCAAAAUUCAGGUUCGGGUUCGGGUCCGGGUUUAGCCAUUCGGGAUCCGGACCCGGAUGAAUAUUUUCUGUAUCGGACCCGAAAAUAAACCCGCAUUUUUCCACUCCGAGUCUGGUACGGGUUCAACCCGAAAAAAUUCGGGUUCCCAGACUGCGGGUUUCCAACCCGAAUUGAUGAAUCCAAUUGAAAAAAAAAAACUAAAUUCAACUAAAAAAAUCAAAUAGAAAUACAUAUCCAGGAUUUUAGCAAAUCAAAGAAAAAUUAUUUCAUCUGGAAACUAAUUAACAAAAACAACAAUUUUGUUUGGCUGCCCAGAAUCAGCAACCCAAUGUGGCGGCUCGUUCAAAACAUUAGUGUUUUCAACAGAUUUUGGGGUAGGAAAAGCCAAACCUAUCUAGAACAAUGAAUUUGUAUUUUUGGGGGAGAUGAGAUACCUCACUGGUUUGUUGUGUGCGGUGCAGUGUAUCUGAAAUUUGGGGGAUGUGAGAAGGGGAGAGGGAGUGGUAACAAUGGUGAAAGGUCAAAACCAAUAGAGAUGUCCUUCAAAAUGAGCUUCACACCUGUAAAACAGUGAAAUAAAGGUUAGAGGUGAAGCCGGGAUACCCCGGUGUUCACACUCCGAUGCUCAAGUUAGCAAACUCAAGCUUUUAUGACAAAGAGAACUGGCUAGCCCUCUGUAAAUUAGGGUUUAAGGUUCAAGGAAACCUAUUUUUUGGAAUGUGAGUGUUAAUGGUGAGUGAGAGACCUCUUCGAGAAUGAAACAUAGGCGCCUUUAUAUAUGGAGUACCUCAGCUGCCACAUGACGUACCCUUUUUUGGCUAACGUCAUUUUUCCUUUUUAUGAUUUUUGGGUCGUUAUGUGCAUGUUCGCGGGGUAUCUCAUCUUUUGGAAACGUGGCGCGCGCUGGAGAGUGGUCCAGGGUACCUCUGCAGUAGCUGUCGGGUAGGCAGCUGAAGACCACUGUCCUUGGGACAAUGUCCUUCACUUUUGGUAAAGGUGACAGGCGGUUGUCCCCCUUUUUAACACGACAUUUUUUAUUCCUAAUUAUGACAAAAUCGAAUAAUAUCUUUUAAGAGAUGGAGACGUUUCUCAUGGUGGAUAUUUUCAGAGGAUUCUCUUGCAUCUGAUCAGCCGGGUUCCUCCAGUUAUGCAGGGUACCUCUAAUUUUACGGGGUACCUCUAUUUGCGCAGGGUACCUUGAAUCAUGCUAGGUACCUUAGAUUAUGCGGGGUACCUCAUAUUGUGUGGGGUACCUCUAAUUGUGCGGGAUACCUCUAUUUGCGCUAGGUACCUUGAAUCAUGCUGGGUACCUCAGAUUGUGCGGGGUACCUCUAUUUGUGCAGGGUACCUUGAAUCAUGCUGGGCACCUCAGAUUGUGCGGGGUACCUUUAGUCAUGCGAGGUACUUUUAAUCAGGCCAGGUACCCUCUAAUUGUGCUGAGUACCUCUAAUCAUGCAGGGUACCUCUAAUCAUGCGGGGUACCUCUAAUCAGGCCGGGUACCUCAGAUUGUGCGGGGUACCUCUAUUUGCGCAGGGUACCUUGAAUCAUGCCGGGUAUCUCAGAUUGUGCGGGGUACCUCAAAUUGUGUGGGGUACCUCUAAUCGUGCGGGGUACCUCUAAUCAUGUCGGGUACCUCGGAUUGCACUGAAAUUAUUCCAUUCGUUGACACGUGGCGUUAUGCUAUCUUUCUUAUUUUUCCCCCAAACAACAUCCCUCUAGUUUCUUUUGGCAAGAAGUUUUGGAGGCAAAAGAAACUUACAUAAAAAGUAGGAGCGACACGUGGCGAUAUGAUGUUUAGCUCGAUGGAUAACUAAAUAGAGGGCGCCUCUAGGGGUACCCUGAGAACCCAAAAAGGGAAGAUGGGCUCCAUUUCCUCGGAAAUGGCUACCACUUUGGACAUGUUGGAAAUGAUAGAGCUAAUUGAUCAAAAAAAUUUCAUCUAUUUCUGGGGAAGAACACCAAAUACGGGUAGAGGGUAUCGUUAGGGUACCCCACCAUUAUCCAUAGUUUGUUUUCUAGUGACUGCCAUGUAUAAAUCGCUCUGGUGAAGGCUUCAAUACAUUCUUUGGGCAUUUAAGAAGCAAUUAUUUGAUUAUCUCGGGAUCCACCUUAUUUAAGGGUAUAUUUCCUUCAUGUGCUUCGAAGAAAAAAAUAAAAUCACAGGGCCUUCUUCCUUGUAACUUCAGAGGUACCAUCGACAGAAGAACAUAGUCGACAAUGCUUUUAAGCGUAUCAUGAUCGAGGAAUGGAGUGCUGAUCUGGGGUUGGUGGUGCCAAGAGUGGAGAAGAUGGUAGAUGAACCGGCUAUCUUGAAGGCGAUUAAUGAUAGCGGGGCUCCCAACACAUCUUGGUCUGAAAGCCCAUUGAGAUCAGCUGAGGUACCUCAGAUGAGGUAUCUAUAAGGUACCCCUGAUACUAACCCUUGUGUUUUUGCUACUUUUAGCACUUUAUUGAUCCCUUCAUCCUAAGGGAUGAAGUUGAAGAUAAAUAUCCUGUUGUAUAACCUUGUUCGACAUUACUGACAAGAUGUAUGGGGUACCUUGUUAGCCUAUAUGGCUAUAAAUAUUGAUUUUGAUGAUAACAAACCACAUGUAUUUAUUGAGUAAAGAUUUAUGAAUUGUGCUUUUAUAAUGAGAAAAUGAUGUUAUGGAAUUAAAUCUUUUUGAACUAAAAUGAAAGUAAUUUUAAAAUCUUUGAUAGUAUUUUAAAUUUCGGAUUUGUACAUAUUUGAAACUAUUUAAAUGUUUUUAGGUCAUUUUGUAAUUUCACAAAGUUUGGGCGAAGUCAUAAUUUCAUAAAGUUGUGGGAUUGAGAAAGCAUUAUCUAAAAUUAUGAAAUUGGACAUAUUUGCAAACGUUUAUAACGUUUUGGGCCAUACCACAGUUUUAUAAAGUUUUAGGGUCAAAUUGAAAAUAUUAGAAAAUUUUCACUGUAGCAGGUUACUGUAGCAAGCAGCUUACCGGAUUCAGAAAAUCAGAAAUCCGGAUUCGAGGCAGUAAGCAUCCAGAACCAAAACGGCUUACCGGAUUCCUGAAUCCGGCAAACCGGUUAGGCAAAAUUUUGAAUUUUGCCUUAACGGUAACAUAAAUCCGGCUUACCGAAUUCUAUAAAAUGGCAAACUGGAUAGCCUAGAAUGUGAGUAACGGCUAGUUUUCGAGCUCAAGCUAUAAGAACUCAAAUCCAACUCAUUUUGAAGCUCUCCAACAAGCAAGAACAAAAAGCACACGUGAUAUCUUGAGCCUUCAACUUGUAAAACACAAUUCAUUGAAUCAUUCAUUGUUCUUCAUCUUUGAAUAUCUACUCAUUGAGUGAGUUUCAUUGUAUCUUUCAUUUCUUCAAUUCAUUUGUAAGAGUUUGAGUGUGUGAGACACUUGAGUGAAGAGAUUGGGAGAUAAUCUCUUUGUUGUAAAGGUUUAUUGACACCUCGAAGUCAAUUGUAAUCGUUGAAGCCUUGGAAAGGCUUGGAUAGUGAAAUCCUCGAGCUUGGAUCGCUUGGAGGCGUGGACGUAGGCGGGGAUUACCGAACCACGUAAAAAUUCGUGUGUUUGUUUCUCUUCUCCCUUACUCUUUAAUUAUUGUACCAUUAUUGAACUUAUUACUUUCAAUUAUUGUUAAGACAUUAGAUUGCUUGUUGUGUGGAUUUGUUAGGAUAAUUUUUAAAAAUCCAAUUCACCCCCCUCUUGGGUUGCACACUUGUAUUUCAUACCUCAUGUACCCUAAUGCUUGGAUAUCCCUUGAGCUAUCUGUUACUUCAUGGCGGAAUAACCCAAUUGCAUCAAACAUAUGGCGAUUCUUCCAGAUAUGCUUGUCGCUUAUCUUAAGCUUUCUUAGGGUUCCUCCUGGUGUAUCUGAGGAAUAGCUUUCUGGCGUGGGGUACCCUUAAUCAGCGUAUGGUGAUUUUCAUAGAAAUGCUUGCCGCAAAUCUUCACAAAACUUGUUGCGGUUGCUUUUGAGAGAUUGUGCGGGGUACCUUGAAUCAUGCCGGGUAUCUCAGAUUGUGCGGGGUACCUCAAAUUGUAUGGGGUACCUCUAAUCGUGCGGGGUACCUCUAAUCAUGUCGGGUACCUCGGAUUGCAGUGAAGUUAUUCCAUUCGUUGACACGUGGCGUUCUGCUAUCUUUCCUAUUUUCCCCCAAACAAUUAGUAAAGAGAGCUAAAGAACUAGCUUUAGUUACGAGCAGAAAAUCAGAAGUCAAGGAGCAGCCAAAGCACUUUUAAUGGUGAUGGUAAAACUAGAGAGGUAAUGCAAAUAAGUUUACGUUGAUUGGAUAUUCAGAAGAAGUAAUACGCCAUUAAAAGCAACAAGUUUUCCAAAAAGCCAACAAAGACAGAGACCACCACACCACCCCGCACUGGAUGAAAAACGAUGAAAGCAUGAUAAGUGGCAUCGAGUAAGCCACGUUCUCUCUCUCUCUCUCUCUCACUCGCACUCGCACUCGCACUCGCACACACUGUUACUAAAAUGACCAAAAAUAAGAUUCCCAUCAAAAUAUUUUCGAGUAUCGUUCUUGAAAGUGGCGGCGGCUGAUGAUGAUGAACACAGCCGCGAUUGCGAUUGGCGAAGGCGGCGUUCUGCCCGUAUCACAGCUAGUUAUCGGUCGCGGCAGAAAAGAUAAUGAAACGACGGCUGAUGAUGAUGAUGAUGAUGUUGAACAGCCGCGAAUAUGGGUAAGUGAUGCGACGAUGAUUUGAUUUGAUGAAGAUGAGCUGAACAUGGAAUAAGAGAGGAAAUGUUUGUGCGGCUGGGAAAGUGUAAUGAACUGCUAGGGCACCAUUUGGGUUUUUUUGCUUUCCUAUUUAUAUUAAAAAUAAUUUUUAAAAAUUAAUAUAUAUCCGGGUUCGGGUUUUGGAUGUACGGGUUUACCUAGACCCGGACACAUGCGGAUUCAGCAGCACCGACCACCCACAGACUUGGAUUUGAUUACAAAGUUGGGACUUAGGAUUUGGGUUUGUGGCUGCCGAAACAGAAAGUGAGAGAGUAGAAAGUAGAGACUGAGAGUGGUGCAAACAUGUGUAAUUUUGUGUGUGUGUCUAUAUAUAUAUAAUGUGAAAUUACAAAAAUGCCAUUAUAUCAGUUCAAUUCGAAUUUUGUAACUUGUGAUCCGAAAACUGAACCAAACCGAACCAUUUGGUUUGGUAUUUAUAUAUUCAGGUUUUUAAUUUAAAAAAACUAAAUUGAAAUUGAAAGAACUAAACCGAACCGAAUUUUUUUUUUUUUUGUUUCGAUUCAAUUAUGCCCAUCCCUACUUAGUAGGCUGGGUAUCAAUUUCUUUGAAUUGUGCUUUCAUUGCAGUAAUCUCCUCCUUGGUAAUAGGUUUAAUUGCUUGCUGAUGCCACCUUUCCUCUAGUAACAACUAGUCUAACAAGCCAUCAUCGUCAAACAUGUACCUAUUAUAAGCAUCAUCCAGAAUUUGCUCUCUUUGCUUUUUGCUUAGUGUCUUCUUUGCACAAGCUAUUAUCUUAGCUUUUGUAUCAAUAUCUUUAUCUUUUGAUUCACCAGAGGAUGAAUCAUCACCGGAAUAGAGUGGUGAAGGCCCCAUAGAUUAGUGUGAUCAAGUUCUAGUGUAGUUUUGGUUUUGAUUUCAGUAUUAGGAAAAUGAAGCCUAUGAAAUUUACCAAGCUAACAUGCUUCACAAAAGUGCUUUAAUACUUGACUAUGAAUACUUGAAGAGGAUAAAUGAGGAUAAAUAAAUUUAAAUAUACAUUAGAUUUUGAGGGUUGGGAUGUCAAAACUUUUGGUGAAAAAGAGUUAGUACAAGCAUUUUUAUUGAGAUUGAAAACAUUUCUUAAGAUGAUCAAUACUAGUUACAAAAUUGGAAUGAAAAAAAAAAGGCAACAUAGACAAAGGUUUGUUUAUUUGAUUGUAAGAUAGAAAAGACUUGUAUUUAGGUUGUGGAAAGGAUUUGAGCAGCAAUUUAUACAACCUUUUCUCAGCAAAACCUUCCUCUUCAAUGAAUCCUUCACAAAACAAAUAGAUCCAAGAAAUUCGACAAAUAAAUUGUUGUCAAUGGUAAGUUUUGAAAUGCUCAAUAGAUUCUUUGUAAUGGAUGGAACAAACAGUACAUCCUUAAGUAAAAUAUGUCUUAUAUUAUCUUUUUUUAAUUCUUUUUAAAAAAAUAAGUGAAUAAUAGUAUGUCAAUCUCAAAUAUCAAUAUGUACAAUUUUUAUUUGUGUAAGAAUUUGCAUCCAAUAAUCAUCAAUACAUAAUUGUCUUUUAAUUGAAUGGUUCUCACCUCCCUUCCAAACUUUGAAAAGGUAAAAUAAGAUCAAUCAUGUCAGUGGCAAUUAAUAUAAAGAUUACUUUUCUUAUUUGUAGUAACGUCCUCUGAUUAUUUAGCUGAUUUUCAAGCUACACAUUUAUUCCAUUUGAUGUUGAUAUUAGUAAAAUUAAUGUAAUAUUUAAAAAGGAAAAAAAUCCGUCGAGCUAAAAGCCGAGUAUAAAAUUGAACCAGACCCAAACCAGAAACGCACGCCAACAACAUGUUUGCGUCAGUCGGCCCAUGCCCAUAAACCCACCAAGCCCGAUCCAAAUAGAAAAAUGAAUUGGACACCCGAGAUAGCAGAAACAGAUAAGUAACGGUCGUGCUAUCCCCAAUCUCAUAUCUUCAACGGUAUCCAGCCAACAUCUCAAAGUGUUCAAUUUUUUUUUAAGCCAAAAAAAAAUUCAAAAUUUUCAAGCGGAAUCUGGGAAGAUAGCGAUGAAAAGCAAGAUUCUGGUUAUCGGCGGAACCGGAUACAUCGGUAAGUACUUAAGGUGCGUUUGAAAUUGAGGUUGAGCAACUAUAACUUUAAAACUGCAGCACUAAAAUAUUUGGUAAACACUAAUUGUUGUAACUUAAAAGCUAUUUAAUAUAAUUUUUCACUUGUAUAAUAAAAAAUUUAUUAUCUUUAAUAAUUUUGUCAAAAUUAUUAUUUAAAAUAUAUACAGUAAGAGAGAUUGUAACAUUUUCAAUCUUUGGUUUGAUAUUCUGGAAGAAAACGAUUUGCCGUUUAUGGAGAAAACUGCUAACCGUUUAAUUUCAGAGAGCAUGUUUUCUAUUCUAGAGAAAACGGCUAACCGUUUGGAGAAAACGGCUAACCGUUUGGAGAAAAUGGCUAACCGUUUGGAGAAAACGGCUAACCGUUUAAUUCCAGAGAGCAUGUUUUCUGUUCUAGAGAAAAUGACUAACCGUUUGGAUAAAACGGCCAACCAUUAAUUACAGAGAGCAACUUAUUUGACAUUCUGGAAUAAAACGGCUCACCGUUAUUGAGAAAACGGCUAACCGUUUAUUUCCAGAGAGCGUGUUUUUGCGUCAACUGGAAAAACGGUUAGCAAGCUUAGAAAUUUCAAUUGUCAAUCGAUGCAAACUCAAACCAAAAGAGUGUUUUUUUGAAGAAGUACUAUUUUUAAUGGUUGUAUUCUUUCAAAUAAACAUCUUCUUUAUUAAAGAUAGACAAACUAUUAUAUCAUAAUUAGAUUUUGCAGGUUUCAUAUAUGUUCUGGAAAUACAAUCUUAUUUUUUAGAGAUUGUAUUCAGGAUUUGAUAUAUCUUAGGGGUAAUUUGCCAUUAAAACUCUAUAGCAAACCAAGAUUGGUGAGGGUAAAUAAAACCUUAAAGAAAAAUGUGCAAACACGUCUCAAAUCCUAAGAAAUUUUCUUUGUUCUUUGCCUCCAUAUUCUUAAAAUUUGAAAAUUCACCCAUCAAUCUUUAAGGUUUUAUUUUGAUGCAAAUAGAGGCUGAGAAGAGUUUGACGUCAUUUCUUAAUCCUAGUGUCCAUCUCGAUCGUUUUGAUGGAACAAAUUUCACUCGUUGGAAGGAAAAAUUGUUCUUUCUUCUUACUGUUCUUAAAGUGGCAUAUGUUCUUAAUCCGAAAUUGGAACCAUUUCCAGAACCAAGGGAAGAUGAUACCGAAGUUGUUAAGGCUGUAAGGAAACGUCGUGAAGAUGAUGAAUUGAUGUGCCGGGGUCACAUACUCAAUACGCGUUCUGACAGGUUAUAUGAUCUCUACAAUUUUAUGACUUCUUCGAUGGAAAUUUGGAAUGCUCUUGAGUACAAAUACAAAACGGAGAAAGAAGGUACUGACAAAUUCCUUGUCUCUAAAUAUUUUGAAUUUAUUAUGGUAGACACACAAUCCAUUCUUGAUCAAAUACAUGAGUUAUAAAUUAUUGUUGCUAAGCUUCGAGAGUUAAAAGUUAAAAUUUCUGAAUCAUUUCAAGUUGGGACUAUUAUUGCUAAAUUGCCUCAAAGUUGGAAUGAUUAUAGAAAGAAACUCCUUCAUAGUAAAGAGAACAUAACUUUAGAAGAAUUGCAAAAACACUUGGUAAUUGAAGAAGAGACUAGGUCUCGCGAAUCCAAGGAUAAACAUGAUUCUACUAAAGUUAAUGUUCUUGAAGCUAGUAAAUUCUCAAAGAAUUUUAAAGUCAAGAAUGACAAGAAAUUUAAGAGGUCCAGCACACAAAAGUUUUCUGGAAAUUGUUUCUUUUGUGGUAAGAAAGGUCAUCGCCAAAGUGAUUGCAGAUUCAAGAAAAAAAAAGAAGAAGUGAAUUCCUAUAAAGCUAAUGUUAUUGAAAACAAAUCUGAAAAGAUUUGUGCUAUGGUUUCUGAAAUACAAAUUGGCAUGAUUAUCGAAACCAAUAUGGCUGAAACUAAGUCCUAUGAUUGGUGGCUCGAUUCGGGUACAACAAUUCAUGUUUGUAAUGAUAAGAAAUUUUUAUUAUCAUACAAAGAAGAAACGGAAGGACAAAUGGUUCUCAUGGGGAACAAUAAUGCAGCCAUAGUAGCAGGGAAAUGAGUAGUUGAGAUCAACUUCACUUCUAGAAAGAAAGUCACAUUGUAUAAUGUCUUUCAUGUACCUUCCGUUAGGAAGAAUCUUAUUUCUGCUAGUUGUAUGUGUAAGCAUGGGCUUAAGAUUGUGCUUGAGGGUAAUACUUGUAUUAUCUCAAAGAAUGAAUUAUUUGUUGGGAAAGGGUAUUCUUGUGAUGGAAUGUACAAACUCAACAUUAAUAAUAAUAAUAUCAACUUAGCUUAUAUUGUUGAGUCUUGUGAUGUUUGGCAUGCUAAAUUAGCACAUUUGAAUUUUAGAUCUUUGAAAUACAUGUCUGAGCAUGGUUUGAUUAAUUGCAAUGAUGUUAAAGGUCAUAAGUGUGAAAUCUGCAUCCAAGCUAAAUUAACUAAGAAACAUUUUCUUAAAGCCGAACGAAAUACUCAAAUAUUGGAUUUAAUAUAUACCGAUAUUUGUGAGUAUAAUGGCGUUUUAACAAGAGGAGGUAAGAAGUACUUUAUCCCUUUUAUUGAUGAUUGUUCUAGAUACACUUAUAUGUAUUUACUUAGAACAAAAAAUGAAGCUUUUGAUAAAUUUAAAAUUUUCAAAGCUGAAGUUGAGAACCAAAAAGAUAAGAAAAUCAAAAUGGUUCGUAGUGAUAGAGGUGGUGAAUAUUUCUCAAUUGAAUUUAAUAAUUAUUGUGAAGAAUUUGGAAUUAUUCACCAAAGAUCAGCUCCAUUUACUCCUCAACAAAGUGGUUUGGCUGAAAGAAAGAAUAGGAUCUUCACGGAUAUGAUAAAUUCCAUGAUCCAUAAUGCAAAACUACCAAAUAAUUUGUGGGGGGAAGCAUUACUCACUGCAUGUCAUAUUCAUAACAGAAUUACAUCUUUGAAAACACAUAUAUCUCUUUAUGAAAUUUGGAAAGGAAGAAAACCAAACUUGAUGUAUUUAAGGGUCUAGGGUUGUUUAGCUUUUUAUAAAAUACAUGAUCCUAAAUCAUCAAAGUUAAGUGCUAGAUGUAUAAAGAGUGUUUUCGUAGGAUAUGCUGAAAAUUCUAAGGCUUAUAGGUUGUUAGAUUUAGAUUAUAAUGUGAUUGUGGAAUCUAGAGAUGUUGAAUUUAUUGAGAAUAAAUUUCAACAUGAUUCUAAUAUUGAAUUAGAAUCAAUUAUUGAUCAACCAUGUGUUAAUACUCCUGUUACCUCCACUAACAAUAAUAAAAGGAAAGAGUCUAUGACAUCUUUCGAACCAAUGAGGAGUCAACGUGAAAAGAAAGAAAAGAGUUUAGCUCCGGAUUUUAUUUCAUCACAAGCACUACUCUUCUUGGUUGAAGGGGAUAGAAAGAAUGUACUUAACAAAGUACCAUUAUUGUUAAAUAUUGAAAAAGAUCCAAAGACAUUUAGCGAAGCUAUGUCUUCUAGAGACGCUUCUUUUUAGAGAGAGGCGGUAAAUGAUGAAAUUGAUUCGAUUAUUUCGAAUCAAACAUGGGUCUUGGUUGAUCUUCCUCCAGGAUCUAAACCAAUUAGCAGCAAAUGGGUAUUUAGAAGAAAGUACAAUAGUGAUGGUUCUUUGCACACUUUUAAGGCUAGAUUAGUAGCCAAAGGGUUUAAGCAAAGAAAUGGUAUUGAUUAUUUCGAUACAUAUGCUUCGGUAGCAAGGUUAACUUCUAUAAGAGUGCUAUUUGCAAUUGCUUCAUUGAACAAUUUGUAUGUGCAUCUAAUGGAUGUUAAAACCGCUUUUCUUAAUGGUGAUCUUGAUGAAGAAAUCUAUAUGGAACAACCUGAGGGAUUUGUUUUACCAGGAAAUGAGAAAAAAGGUAUGCAAAUUAGUCAAAUCACUUUAUGGUUUAAAGCAAGCACCAAAACAAUGGCAUGAGAAGUUUGAUUCGGUAAUUUUAUCUCAUGGUUUUAAGCAUAAUAAUGCUGAUAAAUGUAUAUAUUUUAAAUUUACGAAUGAUUUUGGUGUGAUUAUAUGCUUGUAUGUUGAUGACUUGCUUAUCUUUGGGACAAAUAUGCAAGGAGUAGAUGAUACAAAGAAGUAUUUAACUUCACAAUUUAAGAUAAAAGAUCUUGGUGAAGUAGAUACUAUCUUAGGUGUCAAAGUGAAGAAACAUAGUGAGGGUUACUCGUUGUGUCAAUCUCAUUAUAUAGAGAAAGUGCUUCUUAAAUUCAAUUAUUUGAAAUUUAAAGAAGCUAAUACCCCAUAUGAUUCUAGUAUUAAAUUAUUAGAGAAUUCAGGCCGAGUAGUAGCACAACUAGAAUAUGCUAGUGCUAUUGGUAGCUUGAUGUAUGCUAUGCAUUGUACGAGGCCUGAUAUAGCAUUUGCAGUUUGCAAAAUGUCAAGAUUCACGAGUAACCCUAGUGUUGAACACUGGAAAGCAAUUGGUAGAAUACUUGGUUAUCUUAAAAGGACCAUUCAUUUGGGUUUAUUUUAUAAUGAUUAUCCUGAAGUACUGGAAGGAUAUUCAGAUGCUAGUUGGGUAACCAAUACAAGAGAUAAUAAAUCCACUUCUGGUUGGAUUUUUACAAUUGUUGGAGGAGCAGUUUCCUGGGCUUCAAAGAAACAAACGUACAUAACUCAUUCAACAAUGGAAAGUGAGUUUAUAGCACUCGCAGUUGCAAGCAAGGAAGUAGAAUGACUGAGAAAUUUGUUGUUUGAUAUAAUGUUAUGGCCACAACCGAUGCCAUAUAUUUCUUUGUACUGCGAUAGUGAAGCUACAUUGUCUAGAGCUUAUAAUAAAGUGUAUAAUGGAAAGUCUAGACAUAUUAGCUUGAGACAUGAAUAUGUGAAACAAUUAAUAGCAGAUGGUGUUAUUAAUAUUGUUUAUGUUAGGACUAAUAAGAACCUAGCGGAUCCUUUAAUAAAAGGUCUUACAAGAGACUUAGUUAAGGAUACAUCUUUUGGAAUGGGAUUGAAACCUUUAAAUAAUAAAGUCACCAACGACGAUAACCCAACUAUGUAGUAGUUGUACCGCUACUCCAUAGUUAAAUGGAUAAUAACAAGUUGUUGUUAUGUGACUGGUUUGGCACCGAGUAAUAAAUAAUCACAUUCGAGAUAUUCGGUGCAAAUAGCUACGAGGUUGAGGUUGAGUAUUUAUUCUUAAUGAAGUUCAAGUCUUAUAGUAGCUAAAGACAUGAUUUGAAACUUCACCUAAGUGAACAUAAGAAAUGGUGCCGUUUCUAACAAGAUCAUGGUUUAAUCUAGUAAAUGUUCAUGAAUUCAAGAUAGAGCACAAGGCCGGAAUAGUGCUAAAUAUUGGAACACAACUUUGAAAAUCUGGGAUAGCUUAUAUGUGAUGUAUCUCCGGUAUUUACUUAAGAGACAAAGUUUAAUGCUUAGCACAUUAUUGUCUUGUAAAUGCUUUGAAAUACACUCACUAAUUAAAGGUUAAAAUCGAAAGAUAUCUUUUUGUAUGUAUAAGUUUAUCAUUAAUAAAUAUGAAAAAUAUUACAAUCUAGUGGGGGAUUGUAAGAGAGAUUGUAACAUUUUCAAUCUUUCGUUUGAUAUUCUGGAAGAAAACGGUUUGCCGUUUAUGGAGAAAACGGCUAACUGUUUAAUUCCAAAUAGCAUGUUUUCUGUUCUAGAGAAAACGACUAACUAUUUGGAGAAAAUGGCUAACUGUUUAAUUCUAGAGAGCAUGUUUUCUGUUCUAGAGAAAGCGGCUAACCGUUUGGAUAAAACGACCAACCGUUAAUUACAGAGAGCAACUUAUUUGACAUUCUGGAAUAAAACGGCUCACCGUUAUUGAGAAAACGGCUAACCGUUUAUUUCCAGAAAGCGUGUUUUUGCGUCAAUUGGAAAAACGGUUAGCAAGCUUGGAAAUUUCAAUUGUCAAUCGAUGCAAACUCAAACCAAAAGAGUGUUUUUUUGAAGAAGUACAAUUUCUAAUGGUUGUAUUCUUUCAAAUAAACAUCUUCUUUAUUAAAGAUAGACAAACAAUUAGAUCAUAAUCAGAUUUUGCAGGUUUCAUAUAUGUUCUGGAAAUACAAUAGAUCAUAAUCAGAUUUUGCAGGUUUCAUAUAUGUUCUGGAAAUACAAUCUUAUUUGCUAGAGAUUGUAUUCAUGAUUUGAUAUAUCUUGGGGGUAAUUUACCAUUAAAACUCUAUAGCAAACCAAGAUUGGUGAGGACAAAUAAAACCUUAAAGGAAAGUGUGCAAACACGUCUCAAAUCCUAAGAAUUGUUUUUUGUUCUUUGCCUCCAUAUUCUUAAAAUUCGAAAAUUCACCCAUCAUAUACAUACUACAUAUUAUUAACUUUUGUUUUAUAACUAUAGUGUUUUUUUUUUACCGCAACUGUAGUUUAAAAACUACAGCACCUCAAUCCCAAACAAGACCUUAGUGGAAGCGAGCGCAAAAGCCGAUCACCCAACAUUCGCGCUUGUGAGAGACUCCACUCUCUCCACUCAUUCCAAAUCCAAAAUCCUCGACCGUUUCAAAAAUCUCGGCGUCAAUUUAGUUCUUGUGCGCCACUCUUUUAGCUUUCCAAUUUUCCCGCCAAUUUUCUUUUAUUGUGAUUAAUUAAUUAAUUAAUUAAUUAAAGUAAAGAUUUUAUAUUAUAAUUUUGUUUGCAGGGAGAUCUAUACAGCCAUGAGAGCUUGGUGAGUGCAAUAAAGCAAGUGGAUGUUAAGGUAAUGAUUAACUUAAGUAAAUGCGUUAACUAAUUACUUGGGAUUUUAAAUUCAAAUGCGUGAAUUGUUCUAAAAAAUGAUUUAUGUUUAUUAGUCAGAGAUUCUUUCCUUCAGAAUUUGGAAAUGAUGUUGAUCGCGUGCAUGCCGUUGAGCCAGCAAGAACAUCAUUUGCCACCAAGGCUAAAAUCCGCCGAGCUGUUGAGGCUGAAGGAAUUCCAUACACCUACGUAGCUUCCAAUUUCUUCGCUGGUUUGUAUCUUUCCAGUUUCUCACAGCCUGAAGCCACAGCUCCUCCAAGGGAUAAAGUGGUCAUCGUAGGUGAUCGAAAUGCAAAAGGCAAAGCGCUUCUGGAUACAUUUACUCUGUACACGCAAUGUGUGGUUACUGUUUGGGGAUAAAAAAGGAGAUUAAUUAAUAAAGAAAAUGAAAUUAUUGAGGGAUUUGCUGAAGAGUUGCGUGCACUCCUCAUUUUUCUCCACCACUCAUCUUACUUGCAAAAUGCAAUGACCAAACUAUCCUCGCCAAAGCCUAGACAUUUACUUGUGUUCAAAGGCCAUUUAAGAGAGACAAGUACAAAAAAUUAUAAAGGAUAGUGAGCAAAAGAAGAAAAUGGAAGGAGGGGAGAAUAAAAAAUGGGAGUGGGGCGUUAUCUAGGGAGGAUUUUUAUUUUUAUUUUUUUUCCUCUCUUCUCCAUGGCAUCUCUUUCUCUCUUUCUCCCACUAAGAAAUUCUUUCUUUUACACUCUAUUUUACUUUUAUUCAAAUUACACAAAAAACUUUUGGUUUUAAGGCAAUGUUUAUUAAGCCACGUGAAUUUGAAAAAGCAGGAAUAAGGGGAUGAUUUUAACACAUUAAUUCACCAACAUUAAUUGGAAAAGAUCAGUUGCCACUUCGAAUCAGAGUAAUUUCUUCGGCAAUAGCCAAAUAUUGAUAUUUGAUCUUGACACUGUAGUUAAAUCAAUGUAACUGGUUUUGUCAUUUGAUCCCCAGUAAUUUUUAACAAGGAAGACGAUAUUGGAAUUAAUUCUAUCAAAGCGGUGGAUGAUCCGAGAACACUGAACAAAAUACUUUACAUCAGACCCCGUUGCAAUAUCUACUCAUUUAAUGAUCUUGUGUCUCUGUGGGAGGAAAAGAUUGGCAAAGCCCUUGACAGGGUCUAUGUUACAGAGGAACAACUUCUGAAAAACAUUCAAGGUUAGUUAGAACUAUCACUUUAUCAAGUGCAUAGAUGUAACUGACCGAUAAUGGAAUUUUUUUUCCUUCUCCAAAAUGCGAUAGAAUCUAAUCGGUUUCAACAAUCUCAAGAACACCUAUUCAUGGUUGUGUUGUUUGAAAUCUGUAUGUAUCAGUUUUCUUUCUAGAUCUCAGAUUGCUCGCAAGGAUGUCAAGUUUUGAUGAUGCUUGCCUGUUUUCCUGUGUUUACAGAAGCUUCAUAUCCACUCAAUAUGAUAUUACCUAUUGGGCACUCUGCCUAUGUCCUGGGAGAUCAGACCAACUUCGAAAUUGAACCUUCAUUUGGAGUAGAGGCAACAGAGCUUUAUCCAGAUGUCAACUACACUACUGUGGAUGAGUACCUCAACCAGUUCAUAUAAACCUUCUGAGAUGAGCAGCAGGAUCCUAACAAAAAAUUGGGUGGUUUCCAUCCCUGAUUCUAUGGUAUAAAGAUAGCGGCUUUCCCUGCUUUUGCCAGUUCAAUGAAGUUUGUUAGAUGAUGUUAUUUAUACUAUACUAGCAAAGAUCAAGUUGCCUUUCUUGUCAAGAAGCCAAGCUCUGGCAUUGGUUUAUGCUAGUUUUUCAUGUUUAUUACUUUUUUUGCAUUCAAAAUGAUAAAACUGCAGAGGUUGUUGCAUGCACGUCAUUUGUUAGUAGGGGUAUCAAUUUAUGAACGUAUGAAGUAUCUCUUCUGCAACGGCAUCCUCCUUAACUGUCAGUAGGAUCACAAUAAGUCGACCAACCAUCUACCGUAUGGAUUAUCUAUAAAUUGAAAUUGGUGUGUAUUAUGGAUCUGUCACUCUGCUGUUUCUGUUUUCUUUUCUAUUUUUACCAAGAAAGAAACAUUGUUAAAACUGAAUGGUUGUUAUCUCGUCUUGUUGUAAUGUUGUGUAUGCUUUCUAGAAAAUAAUGAAGUGCCAAAUAUGAAAAUACUAGUGGCUACCUUACCAUCCUUAAUAAGUUGUCUGAUUGUCACCGUCAACAAUCACUCUCAGCAACUCAUAAUCCAUUUAAGCAUAUUAUAAAAUAAUCAAUUUUGUAUUUGCACCAACUUUUAGUUUUAAAUGACAAUUUCGUUGAUCCCCACACUUCUGUACUAAUCAAAUCCACUGAAACUGGACUUUUUUUUCUUUUUUUUUAUAAUUACAUCGAUUGCAUUGGCUAUUGCAGGGAAAAGACUGCCUCUACAGGGAACUAAACUUUCAGAAUUGUUCUUAUGAGGGUUUGAAUAUGCUCUCGUACUAGGUCAAUGGCCUAUUGGUUCGAGACCAUUCACAAAGAAAGAAAUGAGUUUUGCUUGUAUAAAUGAAAGAAAUCCAAAUGAUAACUAAUGUAUAGUGGUACAUGAGAAAAAUAAUUUCAGCCCGUGUAAAGUCAAAAAGAGAAAAUAUUAAAAGAAAGGAUAAUGUCAUUGAGUUCGGUGAAGUGAAAGAAAAUGAAAAACAUGGGAUUUAGUCAAACUUAGUGUCCCAAUCAGCAGAAAAAGGUUUUAGAAACUCACCUCAAGUUAAGCCAACUAUUAGGAGCUUUAUUUAAUCAUGACUUUCUAAUGUAUAGUACUCCAAUACUAAACGAGGGCUACCUCUACGCUUGCAAUUGUAAAUGAAAUUGAGUUCGUGACGCACAAUGAAGUGAGCAAAAUGAGUUGAGAUCUGAGAAUAUAUUAAAGAAAAUAUGAAUCAAUGAAUUUUGGUUAAAAAAAACAAAUGCUGGUUCUUCAAGACCUGCGUGUAUUGUGUAAGUUUUGUUAGGAGAAGGAAAGCAUUUUGGUCUAAAACGCACUAAAUCGGAUUCAUUUGCUUGAUAUCUAAUAAGGGUGAAUUAACCACUCGCCCACAGCAAUUCAAGUCCCAAAAAAAUUAUUGUGGGGGCUAAAUUUCUUCUUUAAUUAUAACAAAUAAUUGAGUGGAGGAUAAAAAUUUAGGCCAUGUAUAACAAUAACUAAUAUAAACUAGUCCUAAUAAUAGUAUAAUUGUAAAUAUCAGUUGUAGUCUCAUACAAUAUAAGUUUAUAGAUUAUAAUAUCGGCAUAAAAAGAAAAAUGAUAUCUGACGGUCAAUCAAUAAAAGGACAAAAACUUGGAGUAACAUACCACAAAGUCAAUGUAGCUGGACAGAUGAAUAUAAUAUGUAAACAAAUUUAAAUGGGAUAAUACCAUACGGUACAUACAUAACAUUUUAAAACUGAAUUAAAAAAAUAAAAUUAAAACUGAAUUGGAAUUCGUAUGUGUAUCCAGCUACCUUGCAACAGUUGUAAGGUACCCUAACUUUGCAACAAUUUCAUCCUUCGUGCAUUCGGUCACAAAGUCCAAAUUAGGCACGUUUAAGAAUCGAACUGAAAAACUAAAAAAAAAGAAUCCGGCGAUAUUUGCGAACCGGAAACGAGCCAGCGUUAUGCUUAUGUCAUUUCAGAGAUAUCAACAGUCGUGCUUUCAGUCCUUAAACCUCAAGGGCAUUUUCGUCCUUUCACUCAAGCGUGAAACUGCAUGUAAGAACUGCUUCGCUUACACGCUCCAUGCACAUUUAAAGGCACCACUGUCGGAUAAAAAAUAUCCAUCCAUUUGAUCAUUUCAAAACAAAACGAAAAAAAAAAUCUCAGUAAUUGAACUGAACGAGUCUCAGAAAUGGCAUCGAAAAGUAAGAUUCUAUUCAUCGGCGGGACAGGGUAUAUCGGUAAAUUCACUGUCGAAGCGAGCGUAAAAGCCGGCCACCCGACGUUCGUGCUCGUGAGAGAAUCCACAAUCUCUGGUCCUUCCAAAUCUCAACUCCUCGAUCACUUCAAAAACCUCGGCGUCAAUCUUGUCAUAGUGCGUUUUCAUUUUUCUCUUUUCUUUAUUUUUUAUUCCGAUCAUUUUUACACGUCGAAGUGUAGCAUCUACUACUUAAUAUACAUAAUGAUAUUAUUAUUUUUUAAUUUUUUUGGGUUGCUGUUAUUAUUAUACAGGGAGAUGUGUUGAAUCACGAGAGUUUGGUGAAGGCGAUAAAACAAGUGGACGCGGUGAUAUCAACAGUUGGUCACACUUUAAUAGCCGAUCAGGUCAAGAUUAUUGCUGCCAUUAAAGAAGCCGGUAACGUUAAGGUAUGACAUAAUUAAUGUAAAUGUCUUAGAUUUCGAUCAGGAUUGUGCACUCGUGCACACGUGGUGAUUUAUUCUUCGUGUGGAGCUCGCUGUAGAGUAGAGCUCCCAGUUCCGCUAAUAAACACCCGUCAGAUGCGCAAUUGCGCCUCAAAAUAAUUUAAUUAAUUAAUUAGGUAUAAACACCGAUGGCAUGAAAGCAAUUAAAAUUAGUUGAUGUUUAUAAAUUAUUUAUUACUCAGAGAUUCUUACCAUCGGAAUUUGGAAAUGAUGUUGAUCGAGUCGAAGGCGCCGUAGAGCCAACAAAAUCGACGUAUGACGUAAAGGCGAAAAUCCGCCGAGCCGUUGAGGCAGAAGGCAUUCCGUACACUUACGUAGAAUCUUAUUGUUUUGAUGGGUAUUUCCUCCCCAAUUUGUUGCAGCCUGAGGCCACUGCCCCCCCUAGGGAUAAGGUUGUCAUCUUAGGCGAUGGAAAUCCAAAAGGUAAUAUAAUUUAAUUAAGCUCUGUUUGUUUGGUAUGUAUUGCGGUGUUAAUGUUAUUGUCUGUUGUACAAUGGAUGGUCUUGCUUGGUACUGUUGUUGGAGAGCUGCAGUGUUUUGAUAAACACCUCUAUAGUCUAUCCUUAUCCUUAGCUUUCAAGUUAAGUUGAUUUUAUACAACACUUGUUUAAUUAAAAACUUGUAAUAUUCUUACUACUUUGAUAAAAAAAAUAUUACGAUUAAAGUAUUAAUGGCACCAUAAUACGAAAUGAAUCUUAAGUGGUCAUUAUAGAUUUUAAGAUAGAGUUUUAAGUGAUUACCAGAUACUUUAGCUGCUGAACCGCCACAUCAUGGUUGCCACACAACAAUUUCAAACAGAACCUAAAUAACUUCAUUGCAAAACAGUUAAAUGAAUCUAACUUAGUUUCGUCGUUUGAUUUUCAGCUGUUUUUAACAAGGAAGAUGAUAUUGGAACCUACACUAUCAAAGCGGUUGAUGAUCCGAGAACCUUGAACAAAAACUUUUACAUUCAGCCUCCCGGUAAUAUUUACUCAUUCAAUGAUCUUGUGUCUCUGUGGGAGAGAAAGAUUGGUAAAACCCUCGAAAAGGAGUAUGUUUCAGAGGAGCAGCUCCUAAAGAAUAUUCAAGGUUGGUUAAAACUCUCUUUUUUAAAUGUAUUAAAGAGAGCCGUAUAUUCUCUGCCGUAAAUGUUAUUGAUCCUGUCUUCUCCAAAAUGUUGCAGAAGCUGCACCUCCACACAAUGUGAUAUUAUCAAUUUAUCACUCUGCUUUCGUGAAGGGAGUUCAAACCAACUUCAAGAUUGAACCAUCUUUUGGAGUUGAAGCCUCGCAGCUUUAUCCUGAUGUCAAGUACACUACAGUUGAUGAGUACCUCAAUCAGUUUGUGUAACCCUUCUCUGUUUCCAGCUGCAGCUUGCAGGAUCUUGGACUCUUGGUAAAUAAAUAAUUGGCUUGUUGCCAUCUUUGGUUUUAUAUGUAAAAAUUAUGGUUGUUGGCCUUACUUUCUUCUGGUUGUCCAUGGAAUUUGUUAGACCAUAUUAUGUUUGCUAUGUCAGUGAUCAAAUGAAGUAGGCCAUGUACUUGAUUUGAGAGUAGUAGUUAUAAAAAGCCAUCAUGAUCAGGUGGGUGCGUGGGUUGGGCUUCUAUUAGGGUGCGUGUGUUGGGCUUCAGGGGCUUGUGAUAUGGGUUCGACAGCCCCUAACGGGCAGUCAUUAUAAAAAUAAUUAUAGAGUUACAAAUCUAUGUAAAAAGCAAAAAUUAAAAGUAAUUUAUCAAUAAAAAUAAUUAAAAUUAAUAAAAAGUAGGUAUGAUAUUUCAGAAAUUAAAUUAAAGAUAGCAUUCUAAAGAGUUGGAUAAUCCUCCAACUAAACUAAAGAUCUAGUACAUUUGAGAGCAAAUUUAAUUAAAGAAAAGGAUAAGGAAAAACAAUAGAAUAAUAAUAUUAAAAAUUGCAAAUCUUGGUCUUUUUUUUUUACGAUGAUGUUGAUUUCUUAUAAAUUUAAUCUUAUCUAUAGAAUUAUUUAGUUACUGUAUGUCAAAAUUUCCUAUAAAGAUGAAGAAAAAUUAUAUUAGGAGAAGAUCCAAAUCCGUUUAACUGAUGCAUCAUCAACAACAUGAGUACAACAUUUUCGAAUAAACAAAAGAAACUCGUUUUAUGUGCGAACCAGUUCCAAAAUAAAGAGCAGACUAUUGGAAGGAGACAAAUACUACAAGAAGAACAAAACAUUCUACAGUUCCUACAUGAGCCCGCAACAAUUAAUUAUUAACUCGACAUUCAUUACACUUUUUCUUUAAUUUGACAAAGAAACCAAAAAUAAGAUAAAAUUGACUAAGAAAUAAAAAAAUGACCAAAAUCUUUUUGAAGUUUUGCCAGUUCAGCCAUGCACGCUUAUCUUUAUUCACUUGUUUCCUUUCUUUCCUGGAGCCUUCACAAAUCCUUUACCUUUCUGAGCCUUGCCAAUUUUCCCCUUCUUCAAACCACCUGGCCUUGCUGGAUCCACGUGUCCUUGCAUCCUUUUUCAUUCGUGGAUCAACAAGAAUCUCCCCCUUUCCAACUCUCUCUUGAACUCCUUUCUUUGCGACCAUGUAUUCUUUUGUAGGCCUUUUGGGUAUAGUUGUCUUGUAUAAUUGUUCAAUUUGAUUCCUCUUCGAACGAUCAGAGAUGUCCGCUUAGUCUAAUAUGACAUUUGCCUUCUUGCGAACCUUCUCAAGAUUUCGCAUGGCAACCCGUAUCUUUCGAGCUUUGGUCUUAGCCACCUUCUUGGCAAUAAGGGUGGGCGAUUCGGUUUUGGGAUAAACUUUUGGUUUCGUAUCGGUUUAGAUUCAAAAAUAGUAUAAAAAAAUAUUUAGAUUUUAUGGGAAAAAAUCUGAACCGAAACUGACCUAUCGAUUUCGUCUCGGUUUCAGUUUAGUUUCGAUUCUCCUAAUAGUUUUGUUUUGCCUUAUUGACUUCCGGUCAAGGACACUUUUGAAAAAUUUACAAACAAAAAAAAAUUGGCCAUAACAAAAUUUCUAUAUGUAAAUAUUUCCUAAACAUUGGGCUAUACUAAAUUUUUUUAAAAGGUAGGGAUCCAAACGAUAUUAUCCCUCUACUUCAUCUUCAACCUUCGUCACUUAGCAGCUACCACAGUAUCGAAAUGGAAAAACUAAAAAAGCACCGUAGGAUACGCAUAUCCACACAUAUCUAAUAAAACUAAAUAUUAUUAAUAAUUUAGUAUAGUAAUAAUAAAACAAGACAAACAUGAAAUUAGAAAAGACUAAAGAGCUUUUUAAGAAAAAAGCCAUUUAAAAAACGAAAAAUAGCAAGUUAUUUGGCUAGUUAACUGGCGACAGAAGUAAUGGAAAGAAGCAACAACGGCAGCGGCAGGUCAACAACGAAGAUUCAGCAGCACCGACCACCCACAGACUUGGAUUCGAUUGCAAAGUUGGGACUUAGGAUUUGGGUUUGUGGCUGCUGAAAUUGAAAGCGAGAGAGUAGAAAGUAGAGACUGAGAGUGGUGCAAACAUGUGUAAUUCUGUGUGUGUGUGUGUCUAUAUAUAUAUAUAUAUAUAUAUAUAUAUAUAUAUAUAUAUAUAUAAUGUGAAAUUAUAAAAAUGCCAUUAUAUCGGUUCGAUUCGAAUUUUGUAACUUGUGAUCCGAAAACUGAACCAAAUCGAAUCAUUUGGUUUGGUAUUUAUAUAUUCGGGUUUUUAAUUUAAAAAAAACUAAAUUAAAACUGAAAAAACCAGAACCGAAUUUUUUUUUUUUUUUUUGUUUCGGUUCAAUUCUGCCCAUCCCAACUUAGUAGGCUGGGCAUCAAUUUCUUUGAAUUGUGCUUUCAUUGCAGUAAUCUCCUCCUUGGUAAUAGGUUUAAUUGCUUACUGAUGCCUCAUUUCCUCUAGUAACAACUAGUCUAACAAGUCAUCAUCGUCAAACAUGUACCUAUUAUAAGCAUCAUCCAGAAUUUGCUCUCUUUGCAUUUUGCUUAGUGUCUUCUUUGCACAAGCUAAUAUCUCAGCUUUUUGUAUCAAUAUCUUUAUCUUUUGAUUCACCAGCGGAUGAAUCAUCACCGGAAUAGAGUGGUGAAGGCCCCAUAGAUCAGUGUGAUCAAGUUCUAGUGUAGUUUUGGUUUUGAUUUCAGUAUUAGGAAAAUGAAGCCUAUGAAAUUUACCAAGCUAACAUGCUUCACAAAAGUGCUUUAAUACUUGACUAUGAAUACUUGAAGACGAUAAAUGAGGAUAAAUAAAUUUAAGGCAAAUGUUAUGUUACAAUUAAUGUAACAUACACACUCAAUAACAACCACACAAAUUUUGUGGGCCCAUUAUUUGUGUGGUUGUUGUUGAGUGUGUAUGUUACAUUAAUUGUAACAUAGGGGCUCCCUAAAUUUAAAUAUGCAUUAGAUUUUGAGGGUUGGGAUGUCAAAACUUUUGGUGAAAAAGAGUUAGUACAAGCAUUUUUAUUGAGAUUUAAAACAUUUCUUAAGAUGAUCAAUGCUAGUUACAGAAUAGGAAUGAAAAAAAAAGGCAACAUAGACAAAGGUUUGUUUAUUUGAUUGUAAGAUAGAAAAGACUUGUAUUUAGGUUGUGGAAAGGAUUUGAGCAGCAAUUUAUACAACCUUUUCUCAGCAAAACCUUCCUCUUCAAUGAAUCCUUCACAAAACAAAUAGAUCCAAGAAAUUUGACAAAUAAAUUGUUGUCAAUGGUAAGUUUUGAAAUGCUUAAUAGAUUCUUUGUAAUGGAUGGAACAAACAAUACAUCCUUAAGUAAAAUAUGUCUUAUAUUAUCUUUUUUUUUAAUUAUUUUUAAAAAAUAAGUGAAUAAUAGUAUGUCAAUCUCAAAUAUCAAUAUGUACAAUUUUUAUUUGUGUAAGAAUUUGCAUCCAAUAAUCAUCAAUACAUAAUUGUCUUUUAAUUUAAUUGUUCUCACCUCCCUUCCAAACUUUGAAAAGGUAAAAUAAGAUCAAUCAUGUCGGUGGCAAUUAAUAUAAGGAUUACUUUUCUUAUUUGUAGUAACGUCCUCUGAUUAUUUAGCUGAUUUUCAAGCUACACAUUUAUUCCAUUUGAUGUUGAUAUUAGUAAAAUUAAUGUAAUAUUUAAAAAGGAAAAAAAUCCGUCGAGCUAAAAGCUGAGUAUAAAAUUGAACCCGACCCAAACCAGAAACGCACGCCAACAGCAUGCUUGCGUCAGUCGGCCCAAGCCCAUAAACCCACCAAGCCCAAUCCAAAUAGAAAAAUGAAUUGGAUGCCCGAGAUAGCACAAACAGAUAAGUAACGCUAGCGCUAUCCCCAGUCUCAUAUCUUCAACGGUAUCCAGCCAACAUCUCAAAGUGUUCAAUUUUUUUUUGAAGCUAAAAAAAAAAUUCAAAAUUUUCAAGUGGAAUCUGGGAAGAUGGCAACAAAAAGCAAGAUUCUGGUUAUCGGCGGAACCGGAUACAUAGGUAAGUACUUAAGGUGCGUUUGAAAUUGAAGUUGGACAGGUAUAACUUUAAAACUGCAGCACUAAAAUGUUUGGUAAACACUAACUAUUGUAACUUAAAAACUAUUUAAUAUAAUUUUUCACUUGUAUAAUAAAAAAUUUAUUAUAUCUUUAAUAAUUUUAUCAAAAUUAUUAUUUAAAAUAUAUACAUACUACAUAUUAUUAAUUUUUGUUUUAUAACUAUAAUUUUUUUCCUACCGCAACUGUAAUUUAAAAACUACAGCACCUCAAUCCCAAACAAGACUUUAGUGGAUGCGAGCGCGAAAGACGAUCACCCAACAUUUGCGCUUGUGAGAGACUCCACUCUCUCCACUCCUUCCAAAUCCAAAAUCCUCGACCGUUUCAAAAAUCUCGGCGUCAAUUUAGUUCCUGUGCGCCACUCUUUUAGCUUUCCAUUUUUCCUGCCAAUUUUCUUUUAUUGUGAUUAAUUAAUUAAUGUAAAGAUUUUAUAUUAUAAUUUUGUUUUCAGGGAGAUCUAUACAGCCAUGAGAGCUUGGUGAGUGCAAUAAAGCAAGUGGAUGUGGUGAUAUCAGCGAUAGGUCGCACUCAAUUAGCUGAUCAACUCAACAUUAUCGCAGCAAAUUGCGAUAACUAAUUACUUGGGAUUUUAAAGAAGCUGGAAAUGUUAAGGUACUGAUUAACUUAAGUAAAUGCGUUAACUAAUUACUUGGGAUUUUAAAUUCAAAUGCGUGAAUUGUUCUAAAAAAUGAUUUAUGUUUAUUAGUCAGAGAUUCUUUCCUUCAGAAUUUGGAAAUGAUGUUGAUCGCGUGCAUGCCGUUGAGCCAGCAAGAACAUCAUUUGCCACCAAGGCUAAAAUCCGCCGAGCUGUUGAGGCUGAAGGAAUUCCAUACACCUACGUAGCUUCCAAUUUCUUCGCUGGUUUGUAUCUUUCCAGUUUCUCACAGCCUGGAGCCGCAGCUCCUCCAAGGGAUAAAGUGGUCAUCGUAGGUGAUGGAAAUGCAAAAGGCAAAGCGCUUCUGGAUACAUUUACUCUGUACACGCAGUGUGUGGUUACUGUUUAGGGAUAAAAAAGGAGAUUAAUUAAUAAAGAAAAUGAAAUUAUUGAGGGAUUUGCUGAAGAGUUGCGUGCACUCCUCAUUUUUCUCCACCACUCAUCUUACUUGCAAAAUGCAAUGACCAAACUAUCCUCGCCAAAGCCUAGACAUUUGCUUGUGUUCAAAGGCCAUUUAAGGGAGACAAGUACAAAAAAUUAUAAAGGAUAGUGAGCAAAAGAAGAAAAUGGAAGGGGGAGAGUAAAAAAGGGGAGUGGGGCGUUAUCCAGGGAGGAUUUUUAUUUUUAUUUUUUUCCUCUCUUCUCCAUGGCAUCUCUUUCUCUCUUUCUCCCACUAAGAAAUUCUUUCUUUUACACUCUAUUUUACUUUUCUACAAAUUACACAAAAAGCUUUUGGUUUUAAGGCAAUGUUUAUUAAGCCACAUGAACUUGAAAAAGCAUGAAUAAGGGGAUGAUUUUAACACAUUAAUUCACCAACAUUAAUUGGAAAAGAUCAGUUGCCACUUCGAAUCAGAGUAAUUUCUUCGGCAAUAGCCAAAUAUUGAUAUUUGAUCUUGACACUGUAGUUAAAUGAAUGUAACUGGUUUUGUCAUUUGAUCCCCAGCAUUUUUUUAACAAGGAAGACGAUAUUGGAAUCAAUUCUAUCAAAGCGGUGGAUGAUCCAAGAACACUGAACAAAAUACUUUACAUCAGACCCCGUUGCAGUAUCUACUCAUUCAAUGAUCUUGUGUCUCUGUGGGAGGAAAAGAUUGGCAAAGCCCUUGACAGGGUCUAUGUUACAGAGGAACAACUUCUGAAAAACAUUCAAGGUUAGUUAGAACUAUCACUUUAUUCGUUACUGAUGACAACACAUGGAGAAAUUUUCCUUGGUCUUAUCAAGUGGAUAGAUGUAACUGACCGAUAAUGGAAAAUUUUUUCCUUCUCCAAAAUGCGAUAGAAUCUAAUCGGUUUCAACAAUCUCAAGAACAUCUAUUCAUGGUUGUGUUGUUUGAAAUCUGUAUGUAUCAGUUUUCUUUCUAGAUCUCAGAUUGCUCGCAAGGAUGUCAAGUUUUGAUGAUGCUUGCCUGUUUUCCUGUGUUUACAGAAGGCUCAUAUCCACUCAAUAUGAUAUUAUCUAUUGGGCACUCUGCCUAUGUCCUGGGAGAUUAGACCAACUUCGAAAUUGAACCUUCAUUUGGAGUAGAGGCAACCGAGCUUUGUCCAGAUGUCAACUACACUACUGUGGAUGAGUACCUCAACCAGUUCAUAUAAACCUUCUGAGAUGAGCAGCAGGAUCCUAACCAAAAAUUGGGUGGUUUCCAUCCCUGAUUCUAUGGUAUAAAGAUAGCGGCUUUCCAUGCUUUUGCCAGUUCAAUGAAGUUUGUUAGAUGAUGUUAUUUAUACUAUACUAGCAAAGAUCAAGUUGCCUUUCUUGUCAAGAAGCCAAGCUCUGGCAUUGGUUUAUGCUAGUUUUUCACACUAAUAUUGGUAUUCACUAAUUUUUUUUUUUUCAUUUCACACCUCCAUCAUCAGUUGAGAUACCCUCUUGUAUGGUACUAACUUUGAUUUUCCUUAUGCUUCACUUGCUGUCUCUGCAGAUUCGUAAAAGAUCAUUCAUGGAUAAGAUCAGAACAUCAAUGUAAUACAGUAUGCAUUGAGAACUCCCACAUGAGUCUUGUUCUAGUUCUCGUUAGACAUGAAACAUGUUACAGUUCCAUAACUUGAGACAUUGUCAUUCAACAAUUAUCAUCGCAUUAAAACAGUGGCCAAUCCCUAACAGCUACCUUUUGACUCUUCACAUUUUUUUUCUGCAUUUUAUGCGCAUUAAUUAUCCAGACCUAGACUUACUCUUCUCAGCUUGGCCCGUUGGACAGUGAGUGAUGAAACAGAAAAUUUUUCAUGUUUAUGAAUGUAUGAAGUAUCUCUUCUGCACUGCACCGGCAUCCUCCUUAACUGUCAGUAGGAUCACAAUAAGUCGACCAACCAUCUACCGUAUGGAUUAUCUAUAAAUUGAAAUUGGUGUGUAUUAUGGAUCUGUCACUCUGCUGCUUCUGUUUUCUUUUCUAUUUUUACCAAGAAAGAAACAUUGUUAAAACUGAAUGGUUGUUAUCUCGUCUUGUUGUAAUGUUGUGUAUGCUUUCUAGAAAAUAAUGAAGUGCCAAAUAUGAAAAUACUAGUGGCUACCUUACCAUCCUUAAUAAGUUGUCUGAUUGUCACCGUCAACAAUCACUCUCAGAAACUCAUAAUCCAUUUAAGCAUAUUAUAAAAUAAUCAAUUUUGUAUUUGCACCAACUUUUAGUUUUAAAUGACAAUUUCGUUGAUCCCCUCACACUUCUGUACUAAUCAAAUCCACUGAAACUGGACUUUUUUUUUUUUUUUUUUAUAAUUACAUCGAUUGCAAUGGCUAUUGCAGGGAAAAGACAGCCUCUACAGGGAACUAAACUUUCAGAAUUGAUCUUAUGAGGGUUUGAAUAUGCUCUCGUACUAGGUCAAUGGCCUAUUGGUUCGAGACCAUUCACAAAGAAAGAAAUGAGUUUUGCUUGUAUAAAUGAAAGAAAUCCAAAUGAUAACUAAUGUAUAGUGGUACAUGAGAAAAAUAAUUUCAGCCCCUGUGUAAAGUCAAAAAGAGAAAAUAUUAAAAGAAAGGAUAAUGUCAUUGAGUUCGGUGAAGUGAAAGAAAAUAAAAAACAUGGGAUUUAGUCAAACUUAGUGUCCCAAUCAGCAGAAAAAGGUUUUAGAAACUCACCUCAAGUUAAGCCAACUAUUAGGAGCUUUAUUUAAUCAUGGCUUUCUAAUGUAUAGUACUCCAAUACUAAACGAGGGCUACCUCUACGCUUGCAAAUGUAAAUGAAAUUGAGUUCGUGACGCACAAUGAAGUGAGCAAAAUGAGUUGAGAUCUGAGAAUAUAUUAAAGAAAAUAUGAAUCAAUGAAUUUUGGUUAAAAAAAACAAAUGCUGGUUCUUCAAGACCUGCGUGUAUUGUGUAAGUUUUGUUAGGAGAAGGAAAGCAUUUUGGUCUAAAACGCACUAAAUCGGAUUCAUUUGCUUGAUAUCUAAUAAGGGUGAAUUAACCACUCGCCCACAGCAAUUCAAGUACCCAAAAAAGUUUUGUGGGGGCUAAAUUUCUUCUUUAAUUAUAACAAAUAAUUGAGCGGAGGAUAAAAAUUUAGGCCAUGUAUAACAAUAACUAAUAUAAACUAGUCCUAAUAAUAGUAUAAUUGUAAAUAUCAGUUGUAGUCUCAUACAAUAUAAGUUUAUAGAUUAUAAUAUCGGCAUAAAAAGAAAAAUGAUAUCUGACGGUCAAUCAAUAAAAGGACAAAAACUUGGAGUAACAUACCACAAAGUCAAUGUAGCUGGACAGUGAAUAUAAUAUGUAAACAAAUUUAAAUGGGAUAAUACCAUACGGUACAUACAUAACAUUUUAAAACUGAAUUAAAAAAAUAAAAUUAAAACUGAAUUGGAAUUCGUAUGUGUAUCCAGCUACCUUGCCACAGUUGUAAGGUACCCUAACUUUGCAACAAUUUCAUCCUUCGUGCAUUCGGUCACAAAGUCCAAAUUAGGCACGUUUAAGAAUCGAACUGAAAAACUAAAAAAAAGAAUCCGGCGAUAUUUGCGAACCGGAAACGAGCCAGCGUUAUGCUUAUGUCAUUUCAGAGAUAUCAACAGUCGUGCUUUCAGUCCUUAAACCUCAAGGGCAUUUUCGUCCUUUCACUCAAGCGUGAAACUGCAUGUAAGAACUGCUUCGCUUACACGCUCCAUGCACAUUUAAAGGCACCACUGUCGGAUAAAAAAUAUCCAUCCAUUUGAUCAUUUCAAAACAAAACGAAAAAAAAAAUCUCAGUAAUUGAACUGAACGAGUCUCAGAAAUGGCAUCGAAAAGUAAGAUUCUAUUCAUCGGCGGGACAGGGUAUAUCGGUAAAUCCACUGUCGAAGCGAGCGUAAAAGCCGGCCACCCGACGUUCGUGCUCGUGAGAGAAUCCACAAUCUCUGGUCCUUCCAAAUCUCAACUCCUCGAUCACUUCAAAAACCUCGGCGUCAAUCUCGUCAUAGUGCGUUUUCAUUUUUCUCUUUUCUUAAUUUUUUAUUCCGAUCAUUUUUACACGUCGAAGUGUAGCAUCUACUACUUAAUAUACAUAAUGAUAUUAUUAUUUUUUAAUUUUUUUGGGUUGCUGUUAUUAUUAUGCAGGGAGAUGUGUUGAAUCACGAGAGUUUGGUGAAGGCGAUUAAACAAGUGGACGUGGUGAUAUCAACGGUCGGUCACACUUUAUUAGCUGAUCAGGUCAAGAUUAUUGCUGCCAUUAAAGAAGCCGGUAACGUUAAGGUAUAACAUAAUUAAUGUAAAUGUCUUAGAUUCCGAUCAGGAUUGUGCACUCGCGAACACGUGGUGAUUUAUUCUUGGUGUGGAGCUCGCUGUAGAGUAGAGCUCCCAGUUCAGCUAAUAAACACCCCGUCACAUGCGCAAUUGCGCCUCAAAAUAAUUUAAUUGAUUAAUUAAGGAUAAAUACCAAUGGCAUGAAAGCAAUUAAAAUUAGUUGAUGUUUAUAAAUUAUUUAUUACUCAGAGAUUCUUACCAUCGGAAUUUGGAAAUGAUGUUGAUCGAGUUGAAGGCGCCGUAGAGCCAACAAAAUCGACGUAUGACGUAAAGGCGAAAAUCCGCCGAGCCGUUGAGGCAGAAGGCAUUCCGUACACUUACGUAGAAUCUUAUUGUUUUGAUGGCUAUUUCCUCCCCAAUUUGUUGCAGCCUGAGGCCACUGCCCCCCUAGGGAUAAGGUUGUCAUCUUAGGCGAUGGAAAUCCAAAAGGUAAUAUAAUUUAAUUAAGCUCUGUUUGUUUGGUAUGUAUUUCGGUGUUAAUGUUAUUGUCUGUUGUACAAUGGAUGGUCUUGCUUGGUACUGUUGUUGGAGAGCUGCAGUGUUUUGAUAAACACCUCUAUCCUUAGCUUUCAAGUUAAGUUGAUUUUAUACAACACUUGUUUAAUUCAAAACUUGUAAUAUUCUUACUACUUUGAUAAAAAAUAUUACGAUUAAAGCAUUAAUGGCACCAUAAUACGAAAUGAACCUUAAGUGGUCAUUAUAGAUUUUAAGAUAGAGUUUUAAGUGAUUACCAGAUACUUUAGCUGCUGAACCGCCACAUCAUGGUUGCCACACAACAAUUUCAAACAGAGCCUAAAUAACUUCAUUGCAAAACAGUUAAAUGAAUCUAACUUAGUUUCGUCGUUUGAUUUUCAGCUGUUUUUAACAAGGAAGAUGAUAUUGGAACCUACACUAUCAAAGCGGUUGAUGAUCCGAGAACCUUGAACAAAAACUUUUACAUUCAGCCUCCCGGUAAUAUUUACUCAUUCAAUGAUCUUGUGUCUCUGUGGGAGAGAAAGAUUGGUAAAACCCUCGAAAAGGAGUAUGUUUCAGAGGAGCAGCUCCUAAAGAAUAUUCAAGGUUGGUUAAAACUCUCUUUUUUUAAAUGUAUUAAAGAGAGCCGUAUAUUCUCUGCCGUAAAUGUUAUUGAUCCUGUCUUCUCCAAAAUGUUGCAGAAGCUGCACCUCCACACAAUGUGAUAUUAUCAAUUUAUCACUCUGCUUUCGUGAAGGGAGUUCAAACCAACUUCAAGAUUGAACCAUCUUUUGGAGUUGAAGCCUCGCAGCUUUAUCCUGAUGUCAAGUACACUACAGUUGAUGAGUACCUCAAUCAGUUUGUGUAACCCUUCUCUGUUUCCAGCUGCAGCUUGCAGGAUCUUGGACUGUUGGUAAAUAAAUAAUUGGCUUGUUGCCAUCUUUGGUUUUAUAUGUAAAAAUUAUGGUUGUUGGCCUUACUUUCUUCUGGUUGUCCAUGGAAUUUGUUAGACCAUAUUUUGUUUGCUAUGUCAGUGAUCAAAUGAAGUAGGCCAUGUACUUGAUUUGAGAGUAGUAGUUAUAAAGCCAUCAUGAUCAGGUGGGUGCGUGGGUUGGGCUUCUAUUAGGGUGCGUGUGUUGGGCUUCAGGGGCUUGUGAUAUGGGUUCGACAGCCCCUAACGGGCAGUCAUUAUAAAAAUAAUUAUAGAGUUACAAAUCUAUGUAAAAAGCAAAAAUUAAAAGUAAUUUAUCAAUAAAAAUAAUUAAAAUUAAUAAAAAGUAGGUAUGAUAUUUCAGAAAUCAAAUUAAAGAUAGCAUUCUAAAGAGUCGGAUAAUCCUCCAACUAAACUAAAGAUCUAGUACAUUUGAGAGCAAAUUUAAUUAAAGAAAAGGAUAAGGAAAAACAAUAGAAUAAUAAUAUUAAAAAUUGCAAAUCUUGGUCUUUUUUUUUUACGAUGAUGUUGAAUUCUUAUAAAUUUAAUCUUAUCUAUAGAAUUAUUUAGUUACUGUAUGUCAAAAUUUCCUAUAAAGAUGAAGAAAAAUUAUAUUAGGAGAAGAUCCAAAUCCGUUUAACUGAUGCAUCAUCGACAACAUGAGUACAACAUUUUUGAAUAAACAAAAGAAACUCGUUUUAUGUGCGAACCAGUUCCAAAAUAAAGAGCAGACUAUUGGAAGGAGACAAAUACUACAAGAAGAACAAAACAUUCUACAGUUCCUACAUGAGCCCGCAACAAUUCAUUAUUAACUCGACAUUCAUUACACUUUUUCUUUAAUUUGACAAAGAAACCAAAAAUAAGAUAAAAUUGACUAAGAAAUAAAAAAAUGACCGAAAUCUUUUUGAAGUUUUGCCAGUUCAGCCAUGCACGCUUAUCUUUAUUCACUUGUUUCCUUUCUUUCCUUUCUUUGCUGAAGCCUUCACAGAUCCUUUACCUUUCUGAGCCUUGCCAAUUUUCCCCUUCUUCAAACCACCUGGCCUUGCUGGAUCCACGUGUCCUUGCAUCCUUUUUCAUUCGUGGAUCAACAAGAAUCUUCCCCUUUCCAGCUCUCUCUUGAACUCCUUUCUUUGGGACCAGUAUUCUUUUGUCGGCCUUUUGGGUAUAGUUGUCUUGUAUAAUUGUUCAAUUUGAUUCCUCUUCGAACGAUCAGAGAUGUCCGCUUAGUCUGAUAUGACAUUUGCCUUCUUGCGAACCUUCUCAAGAUUUCGCAUGGCAACCCGUAUCUUUCGAGCUUUGGUCUUAGCCACCUUCUUGGCAGUAUGGGUGGGCGAUUCGGUUUUGGGAUAAACUUUUGGUUUCGUAUCGGUUUAGAUUAAAAAAUAAUAUAAAAAAAUAUUUAGAUUUUAAGAGAAAAAAUCCGAACCGAGACUCACCUAUCGAUUUCGGCUCGGUUUCAGUUCAGUUUUGAUUCUCCUAAUAGUUUUAUUUUGCCUUAUUGACUUCCGGUCAAUGACACUUUUGAAAAAUUUACCAAAAAAAAAAAAAAUGGCCAUAACAAAAUUUCUAUAUGCAAAUAUUUCCUAAACAUUAGGCUAUACUAAAUUUUUUUAAAAGGUAGGGACCCAAACGAUAUUAUCCCUCUACUUCAUCUUCAACCUUCGUCAUUAGGGAUGGCAAAAUCCGAGUUCGGGUCCGGGUUUAGCCAUUUGGGAUCCGGACCCGGAUGAAUAUUUUUUGUACCAGACCCGAAAAUAAACCCGCAUUUUUCCACUUCGAGUCCGGUACGGGUUCAACCCGAAAAAAUUCGGGUUCCCUGACUGCGGGUUUCCAACUCGGAUUAAUGAAUCCAAUUGAAAAAAAAAAACUAAAUUCAACAAAAAAAAUCAAAUAGAAAUACAUAUCCAGGAUUUCAGCAAAUCAAAGAAAAAUUAUUUCAUCUGGAAACUAAUUAACAAAAACAACAAUUUUGUUUGGCUGCCCAGAAUCAGCAACCCAAUGUGGCGGCUCGUUCAAAACAUUAGUGUUUUCAACAGAUUUUGGGGUAGGAAAAGCCAAACCUAUCUAGAACAAUGAAUUUGUAUUUUUGGGGGAGAUGAGGUACCUCACUGGUUUGUUGUGUGCGGUGCAGUGUAUCUUAAAUUUGGGGGAUGUGAGAAGGGGAGAGGGAGUGGUAAUAAUGGUGAAAGGUCAAAACCAAUAGAGAUGUCCUUCAAAAUGAGCUUCACACCUGUAAAACAGUGAAAUAAAGGUUAGAGGUGAAGCUGGGGUAUCCCGGUGUUCACACUCCGACGCUCAAGUUAGCAAACUCAAGCUUUUAUGACAAAGAGAACUGGCUAGCCCUCUGUAAAUUAGGGUUUAAGGUUCAAGGAAACCUAUUUUUUGGAAUGUGAGUGUUAAUGGUGAGUGAGAGACCUCUUGGAGAAUGAAACCUAUGCGCCUUUAUAUAUGGAGUACCUCAGCUGCCACGUGACGUACCCUUUUUGGCUAACGUCAUUUUUCAUUUUUAUGAUUUUUGGGUCGUUAUGUUCAUGUUCGCGGGGUAUCUCAUCUUUUAGAAACGUGGCGCGCGCUGGAGAGUGGUCCAGGGUACCUCUGCAGUAGCUGUCGGGUAGGCGGCUGAGGACCACUGUCCUUGGGACAGUGUCUUUCACUUUUGGUAAAGGUGACAGGCGGUUGUCCUCCCUUUUAACACGACAUUUUUUAUUCCUAAUUAUGACAAAAUCGAAUAAUAUCUUUUAAGAGAUGGAGACGUUUCUCAUGGUGGAUAUUUUCGGAAGAUUCUCUUGCAUCUGAUCAGCCGGGUUCCUCCAGUUACGCAGGGUACCUCAAUUUAUGUGGGGUACCUCUAAUUUUAUGGGGUACCACUAUUUGCGCAGGGUACCUUGAAUCAUGCCAAGUACCUUAGAUUAUGCGGAGUACCUCUAAUUGUGCGGGAUACCUCUAUUGCGCUAGGUACCUUGAAUCAUGCCGGGUACCUCAGAUUGUGCGGGGUAUCUCUAUUUGCGCAGGGUACCUUGAAUCAUGCUGGGCACCUCAGAUUGUGUGGGGUACCUUGAGUCAUGCGAGGUACCUCUAAUCAGGCCAGGUACCCUCUAAUUGUGCUGAGUACCUAUAAUCAUGCAGGGUACCUCUAAUCAAGCCGGGUACCUUUAAUCAUGCGGGGUACCUCUAAUCAGGCCGGGUACCUUAGAUUGUGCGGGGUACCUCUAUUUGCGCAGGGUACCUUGAAUCAUGCAGGGUAUCUCAGAUUGUGCGGGGUACCUCAAAUUGUGUGGGGUACUUCUAAUCGUGCGGGGUACCUCUAAUCAUGUCGGGUACCUCGGAUUGCACUGAAGUUAUUCCAUUCGUUGACACGUGGCGUUAUGCUAUCUUUCUUAUUUUUCCCCCAAACAACAUCCCUCUAGUUUCUUUUGGCAAGAAGUUUUGGAGGCAAAAGAAACUUACAUAAAAAGUAGAAGCGACACGUGGCGAUAUGAUGUUUAGCUCGAUGGGUAACUAAAUAGAGGGCGCCUUUAGGGGUACCCUGAGAACCCAAAAAGGGAAGAUGGGCUCCAUUUCCUCGGAAAUGGCUACCACUUUGGACAUGUUGGAAAGGAUAGAGCUAAUUGAUCAAAAAAAUUUCAUCUAUUUCUAGGGAAGAACACCAAAUACGGGUAGAGGGUAUCGUUAGGGUACCCCACCAUUACCCAUAGUUUGUUUUCUAGUGACUGCCAUGUAUAAAUCGCUCUGGUGAAGGCUUCAAUACAUUCUUUGGGCAUUUAAGAAGCAAUUAUUUGAUUAUCUCGGGAUCCACCUUAUUUAAGGGUAUAUUUCCUUCAUGUACUUUGAAGACAAAAAUAAAAUCACAGGGCUUUCUUCCUUGUAACUUCAGAGGUACCCUCGACAGAAGAAUAUAGUCAACAAUGCUUUUAAGCGUAUCAUGAUCGAGGAAUGGAGUGCUGAUCUGGGGUUGGUGGUGCCAAGAGUGGAGAAGAUGGUAGAUGAACCGGCUAUCUUGAAGGCGAUUAACGAUAGCGGGGCUCUCAACACAUCUUGGUCUGAAGGGGUAAUGCAAAUAAGUUUACGUUGAUUGGAUAUUCAGAAGAAGUAAUACGCCAUUAAAAGCAACAAGUUUUCCAAAAAGCCAACAAAGACAGACACCACCACACCACCCCGCGCUGGAUGAAAAACGAUGAAAGCAUGAUAAGUGACAUCGAGUAAGCCACGUUCUCUCUCUCUCUCUCACUCGCACUCGCACUCGCACUCGCACUCGCACUCGCACACACUGUUACUAAAAUAACCAAAAAUAAGAUUCCCAUCAAAAUAUUUUCAAGUAUCGUUCUUGAAAGUGGCGGCGGCUGAUGAUGAUGAACACAGCCGCGAUUGCGAUUGGCGAAGGCGGCGUUCAGCCCGUAUCACAGCUAGUUAUCGGUCGUGGCAGAAAAGAUAAUGAAACGACGGCUGAUGAUGAUAAUGAUGAUGUUGAACAGCCGCAAAUAUGGGUAAGUGAUGCGACGAUGAUUUGAUGAAGAUGAAGAUGAGCUGAAGAUGGAAUAAGAGUGGAAAUGUUUGUGCGGCUGGGAAAGUGUAAUGAGCUGCUAGGGCACCAUUUGGGUUUUUUUGCUUUCCUAUUUAUAUUAAAAAUAAUUUUUAAAAAUUAAUAUAUAUCCGGGUUCGGGUUUUGGAUGUACGGGUUUACCUAGACCCGGACACAUGCGGAUUCAGCAGCACCGACCACCCACAGACUUGGAUUCGAUUGCAAAGUUGGGACUUAGGAUUUGGGUUUGUGGCUGCUGAAACAGAAAGUGAGAGAGUAGAAAGUAGAGACUAAGAGUGGUGCAAACAUGUGUAAUUUUGUGUGUGUGUCUAUAUAUAUAUAUAUAAUGUGAAAUUACAAAAAUGCCAUUAUAUCAGUUCAAUUCGAAUUUUGUAACUUGUGAUCCAAAAACUGAACCAAACCGAACCAUUUGGUUUGGUUUUUAUAUAUUCAGGUUUUUAAUUUAAAAAAACUAAAUUGAAAUUGAAAGAACUAAACCGAACCGAAUUUUUUUUUUUUUUUUGUUUCGGUUCAAUUAUGCCCAUCCCUACUUAGUAGGCUGGGCAUUAAUUUCUUUGAAUUGUGCUUUCAUUGCAGUAAUCUCCUCCUUGGUAAUAGGUUUAAUUGCUUGUUGAUGCCUCAUUUCCUCUAGUAACAACUAGUCUAACAAGCCAUCAUCGUCAAACAUGUACCUAUUAUAAGCAUCAUCCAGAAUUUGCUCUCUUUGCUUUUUGCUUAGUGUCUUCUUUGCACAAGCUAUUAUCUCAGCUUUUGUAUGAAUAUCUUUAUCUUUUGAUUCACCAGAGGAUGAAUCAUCACCGGAAUAGAGUGGUGAAGGCCCCAUAGAUUAGUGUGAUCAAGUUCUAGUGUAGUUUUGGUUUUGAUUUCAGUAUUAGGAAAAUGAAGCCUAUGAAAUUUACUAAGCUAACAUGCUUCACAAAAGUGCUUUAAUACUUGAAGAGGAUAAAUGAGGAUAAAUAAAUUUAAAUAUACAUUAGAUUUUGAGGGUUGGGAUGUCAAAACUUUUGGUGAAAAAGAGUUAGUACAAGCAUUUUUAUUGAGAUUGAAAAUAUUUCUUAAGAUGAUCAAUACUAGUUACAAAAUUGGAAUGAAAAAAAAAGGCAACAUAGACAAAGGUUUGUUUAUUUGAUUGUAAGAUAGAAAAGACUUGUAUUUAAGUUGUGGAAAGGAUUUGAGCAGCAAUUUAUACAACCUUUUCUCAGCAAAACCUUCCUCUUCAAUGAAUCCUUCACAAAACAAAUAGAUCCAAGAAAUUCGACAAAUAAAUUGUUGUCAAUGGUAAGUUUUGAAAUGCUCAAUAGAUUCUUUGUAAUGGAUGGAACAAACAGUACAUCCUUAAGUAAAAUAUGUCUUAUAUUAUCUUUUUUUAAUUCUUUUUUAAAAAAUAAGUGAAUAAUAGUAUGUCAAUCUCAAAUAUCAAUAUGUACAAUUUUUAUUUGUGUAAGAAUUUGCAUCCAAUAAUCAUCAAUACAUAAUUGUCUUUUAAUUGAAUGGUUCUCACCUCCCUUCCAAACUUUGAAAAGGUAAAAUAAGAUCAAUCAUGUCAGUGGCAAUUAAUAUAAAGAUUACUUUUCUUAUUUGUAGUAACGUCCUCUGAUUAUUUAGCUGAUUUUCAAGCUACACAUUUAUUCCAUUUGAUGUUGAUAUUAGUAAAAUUAAUGUAAUAUUUAAAAAGGAAAAAAAUCCGUCGAGCUAAAAGCCGAGUAUAAAAUUGAACCGGACCCAAACCAGAAACGCACGCCAACAACAUGCUUGCGUUAGUCGGCCCAUGCCCAUAAACCCACCAAGCCCGAUCCAAAUAGAAAAAUGAAUUGGACACCCGAGAUAGCAGAAACAGAUAAGUAACGGUCGUGUUAUCCCCAAUCUCAUAUCUUCAACGGUAUCCAGCCAACAUCUCAAAGUGUUCAAUUUUUUUUUAAGCCAAAAAAAAAUUCAAAAUUUUCAAGCGGAAUCUGGGAAGAUGGCGAUGAAAAGCAAGAUUCUGGUUAUCGGCGGAACCGGAUACAUCGGUAAGUACUUAAGGUGCGUUUGAAAUUGAGGUUGAACAACUAUAACUUUAAAACUACAGCACUAAAAUAUUUGGUAAACACUAACUGUUGUAACUUAAAAGCUAUUUAAUAUAAUUUUUCACUUGUAUAAUAAAAAAUUUAUUAUCUUUAAUAAUUUUGUCAAAAUUAUUAUUUAAAAUAUAUACAGUAAGAGAGAUUGUAACAUUUUCAAUCUUUGGUUUGAUAUUCUGGAAGAAAACGGUUUGCCGUUUACGGAGAAAAUGGCUAACCGUUUAAUUUCAGAGAGCAUGUUUUCUAUUCUAGAGAAAACGACUAACCGUUUGGAGAAAAUGGCUAACCGUUUGGAGAAAACGGCUAACCGUUUUGAGAAAACGGCUAACCGUUUAAUUCCAGAGAGCAUGUUUUCUGUUCUAAAGAAAAUAACUAACCGUUUGGAUAAAACAACCAACCAUUAAUUACAGAGAGUAACUUAUUUGACAUUCUGGAAUAAAACGGCUCACCGUUAUUGAGAAAAUGGCUAACCGUUUAUUUCCAGAGAGCGUGUUUUUGCGUCAACUGGAAAAACGGUUAGCAAGCUUGGAAAUUUCAAUUGUCAAUCGAUGCAAACUCAAACCAAAAGAGUGUUUUUUAAAGAAGUACCAUUUUUAAUGGUUGUAUUCUUUCAAAUAAACAUCUUCUUUAUUAAAGAUAAACAAACUAUUAUAUCAUAAUCAGAUUUUGCAGGUUUCAUAUAUGUUCUGGAAAUACAAUCUUAUUUUCUAGAGAUUGUAUUCAGGAUUUGAUAUAUCUUAGGGGUAAUUUGCCAUUAAAACUCUAUAGCAAACCAAGAUUGGUGAGGGCAAAUAAAACCUUAAAGAAAAGUGUGCAAACACGUCUCAAAUCCUAAGAAAUUUUCUUUGUUCUUUGCCUCCAUAUUCUUAAAAUUUGAAAAUUCACCCAUCAAUCUUUAAGGUUUUAUUUUGAUGCAAAUAGAGGCUGAGAAGAGUUUGACGCCAUUUCUUAAUCCUAGUGUCCAUCUCGAUCGUUUUGAUGGAACAAAUUUCACUCGUUGGAAGGGAAAAUUGUUCUUUCUUCUUACUGUUCUUAAAGUGACAUAUGUUCUUGAUCCGAAAUUGGAACCAUUUCCAGAACCAAGAGAAGAUGAUACCGAAGUUGUUAAGGCUGCAAGGAAACGUCGUGAAGAUGAUGAAUUGAUGUGCCGGGGUCACAUACUCAAUACGCGUUCUGACAGGUUAUAUGAUCUCUACAAUUUUAUGACUUCUCCGGUGGAAAUUUGGAAUGCUCUUAAGUACAAAUACAAAACGGAGAAAGAAGGUACUGACAAAUUCCUUGUCUCUAAAUAUUUUGAAUUUAUUAUGAUAGACACACAAUCCAUUCUUGAUCAAAUACAUGAGUUAUAAAUUAUUGUUGCUAAGCUUCGAGAGUUAAAAGUUGAAAUUUUUGAAUCAUUUCAAGUUGGGACUAUUAUUGCUAAAUUGCCUCAAAGUUGGAAUGAUUAUAGAAAGAAACUCCUUCAUAGUAAAGAGAACAUAACUUUAGAAGAAUUGCAAAAACACUUGAUAAUUGAAGAAGAGACUAGGUCUCGCGAAUCCAAGGAUAAGCAUGAUUCUACUAAAGUUAAUGUUCUUGAAGCUAGUAAAUUCUCAAAGAAUUUUAAAGUCAAGAAUGACAAGAAAUUUAAGAAGUCCAGCACACAAAAGUUUUCUGGAAAUUGUUUCUUUUGUGGUAAGAAAGGUCAUCGCCAAAGUGAUUGCAGAUUCAAGAAAAAAAAAAGGAAGAAGUGGAUUCCUAUAAAGCUAAUGUUAUUGAAAACAAAUCUGAAAAGAUUUGUGCUAUGGUUUCUGAAAUGCAAAUUGGCAUGAUUAUCGAAACCAAUAUGGCUGAAACUAAGUCCUAUGAUUGGUGGCUCGAUUCGGGUACAACAAUUCAUGUUUGUAAUGAUAAGAAAUUUUUAUUAUCAUACAAAGAAGAAACGGAAGGACAAAUGGUUCUCAUGGGGAACAAUAAUGCAGCCAUAGUAGCAGGGAAAUGAGUAGUUGAGAUCAACUUCACUUCUAGAAAGAAAGUCACAUUGUAUAAUGUCUUUCAUGUACCUUUCGUUAGGAAGAAUCUUAUUUCUGCUAGUUGUAUGUGUAAGCAUGGGCUUAAGAUUGUGCUUGAGGGUAAUACUUGUAUUAUCUCAAAGAAUGAAUUAUUUGUUGGGAAAUGGUAUUCUUGUGAUGGAAUGUACAAACUCAACAUUAAUAAUAAUAAUAUCAACUUAGCUUAUAUUGUUGAGUCUUGUGAUGUUUGGCAUGCUAAAUUAGCACAUUUGAAUUUUAGAUCUUUGAAAUACAUGUCUGAGCAUGGUUUGAUUAAUUGCAAUGAUGUUAAAGGUCAUAAGUGUGAAAUCUGCAUCCAAGCUAAAUUAACUAAGAAACAUUUUCUUAAAGCCGAACGAAAUACUCAAAUAUUGGACUUAAUAUAUACCGAUAUUUGUGAGUAUAAUGGCGUUUUAACAAGAGGAGGUAAGAAGUACUUUAUCACUUUUAUUGAUGAUUGUUCUAGAUACACUUAUGUGUAUUUACUUAGAACAAAAAAUGAAGCUUUUGAUAAAUUUAAAAUUUUCAAAGCUGAAGUUGAGAACUAAAAAGAUAAGAAAAUCAAAAUGGUUCGUAGUGAUAGAGGUGGUGAAUAUUUCUCAAUUGAAUUUAAUAAUUAUUGUGAAGAAUUUGGAAUUAUUCACCAAAGAUCAGCUCCAUUUACUCCUCAACAAAGUGGUUUGGCUAAAAGAAAGAAUAAGAUCUUCACAGAUAUGAUAAAUUCCAUGAUCCUUAAUGCAAAACUACCAAAUAAUUUGUGGGGGGAAGCAUUACUCACUGCAUGUCAUAUUCAUAACAGAAUUACAUAUUUGAAAACACAUAUAUCUCUUUAUGAAAUUUGGAAAGGAAGAAAACCAAACUUGAUGUAUUUAAGGGUCUAGGGUUGUUUAGCUUUUUAUAAAAUACAUGAUCCUAAAUCAUCAAAGUUAUGUGCUAGAUGUAUAAAGAGUGUUUUCGUAGGAUAUGCUGAAAAUUCCAAGGCUUAUAGGUUGUUAGAUUUAGAUUAUAAUGUGAUUGUGGAAUCUAGAGAUGUUGAAUUUAUUGAGAAUAAAUUUCAACAUGAUUCUAAUAUUGAAUUAGAAUCAAUUAUUGAUCAACCAUGUGUUAAUACUCCUGUUACCUCCACUAACAAUAAUAAAAGGAAAGACUCUAUGACAUCUUUCGAACCAAUGAGGAGUCAAGGUGAAAAGAAAGAAAAGAGUUUAGCUCCGAAUUUUAUUUCAUCACAAGCACUACUCUUCUUGGUUGAAGGGGAUAGAAAGAAUGUACUUAACAAAGUACCAUUGUUGUUAAAUAUUGAAAAAGAUCCAAAGACAUUUAGCGAAGCUAUGUCUUCUAGAGACGCUUCUUUUUGGAGAGAGGCGGUAAAUGAUGAAAUUGAUUCGAUUAUUUCGAAUCAAACAUGGGUCUUGGUUGAUCUUCCUCCAGGAUCUAAACCAAUUAGCAGCAAAUGGGUAUUUAGAAGAAAGUACAAUAGUGAUGGUUCUUUGCAAACUUUUUAGGCUAGAUUAGUAGCCAAAGGGUUUAAGCAAAGAAAUGGUAUUGGUUAUUUCGAUACAUAUGCUUCGGUAGCAAGGUUAACUUCUAUAAGAGUGCUAUUUGCAAUUGCUUCAUUGAAUAAUUUGUAUGUGCAACUAAUGGAUGUUAAAACCGCUUUUCUUAAUGGUGAUCUUGAUGAAGAAAUCUAUAUGGAACAACCUGAGGGAUUUGUUUUACCAGGAAAUGAGAAAAAAGGUAUGCAAGUUAGUCAAAUCACUUUAUGGUUUAAAGCAAGCACCAAAACAAUGGCAUGAGAAGUUUGAUUCGGUAAUUUUAUCUCAUGGUUUUAAGCAUAAUAAUGCUGAUAAAUGUAUAUAUUUUAAAGUUACGAAUGAUUUUGGUGUGAUUAUAUGCUUGUAUGUUGAUGACUUGCUUAUCUUUGGAACAAAUAUGCAAGGAGUAGAUGAUACAAAGAAGUAUUUAACUUCACAAUUUAAGAUAAAAGAUCUUGGUGAAGUAGAUACUAUCUUAGGUGUCAAAGUGAAGAAACAUAGUGGGGGUUACUCGUUGUGUCAAUCUCAUUAUAUAGAGAAAGUGCUUCUUAAAUUCAAUUAUUUGAAAUUUAAAGAAGCUAAUACCCCAUAUGAUUCUAGUAUUAAAUUAUUAGAGAAUUCAGGCCGAGUAGUAGCACAACUAGAAUAUGCUAGUGCUAUUGGUAGCUUGAUGUAUGCUAUGCAUUGUACGAGGCCUGAUAUAGCAUUUGCAGUUUGCAAAAUGUCAAGAUUCACGAGUAACCCUAGUGUUGAACACUGGAAAUCAAUUGGUAGAAUACUUGGUUAUCUUAAAAGGACCAUUAAUUUGGGUUUGUUUUAUAAUGAUUAUCUUGAAGUACUGGAAGGAUAUUCAGAUGCUAGUUGGGUAACCAAUACAAGAGAUAAUAAAUCCACUUCUGGUUGGAUUUUUACAAUUGCUGGAGGAGCAGUUUCUUGGGCUUCAAAGAAACAAAUGUACAUAACUCAUUCAACAAUGGAAAGUGAGUUUAUAGCACUCGCAGUUGCAAGCAAGGAAGUAGAAUGGCUGAGAAAUUUGUUGUUUGAUAUAAUGUUAUGGCCACAACCGAUGCCAUCUAUUUCUUUGUACUGCGAUAGUGAAGCUACAUUGUCUAGAGCUUAUAAUAAAGUGUAUAAUGGAAAGUCUAGACAUAUUAGCUUGAGACAUGAAUAUGUGAAACAAUUAAUAGCAGAUGGUGUUAUUAAUAUUGUUUAUGUUAGGACUAAUAAGAACCUAGCGGAUCCUUUAACAAAAGGUCUUACAAGAGACUUAGUUAAGGAUACAUCUUUUGGAAUGGGAUUGAAACCUUUAAAUAAUAAAGUCACCAACGACGAUAACCCAACUAUGUAGUAGUUGCACCGCUACUCCAUAGUUAAAUGGAUAAUAACAAGUUGUUGUUAUGUGACUGGUUUGGCACCGAGUAAUAAAUAAUCACAUUCGAGAUAUUCGGUGCAAAUAGCUACGAGGUUGAGGUUGAGUAUUUACUCUUAAUGAAGUUCAAGUCUUAUACUAGCUAAAGACAUGAUUUGAAACUUCACCUAAGUGAACAUAAGAAAUGGUGCCGUUUCUAACAAGAUCAUGGUUUAAUCUAGUAAAUGUUUAUGAAUCCAAGAUAGAGCACAAGGCCGGAAUAGUGCUAAAUAUUGGAACACAACUUUGAAAAUCUGGGAUAGCUUAUAUGUGAUGUAUCUCCGGUAUUUACUUAAGAGACAAAGUUUAAUGCUUAGCACACUAUUGUUUUGUAAAUGCUUUGAAAUACACUCACUAAUUAAAGGUUAAAAUCGAAAGAUAUCGUUUUGUAUGUAUAAGUUUAUCAUUAAUAAAUAUGAAAAAUAUUACAAUCUAGUGGGGGAUUGUAAGAGAGAUUGUAACAUUUUCAAUCUUUGGUUUGAUAUUCUGGAAGAAAACGGUUUGCCGUUUAUGGAGAAAACGGCUAACUGUUUAAUUCCAAAUAGCAUGUUUUCUGUUCUAGAGAAAACGACUAACUAUUUGGAGAAAAUGGCUAACUGUUUAAUUUUAGAGAGCAUGUUUUCUGUUCUAGAGAAAACGGCUAACCGUUUGGAUAAAACGGCCAACCGUUAAUUACAGAGAGUAACUUAUUUGACAUUCUGGAAUAAAACGGCUCACCGUUAUUGAGAAAACGGCUAACCAUUUAUUUCCAGAGAGCGUGUUUUUGCGUCAACUGGAAAAACGGUUAGCAAGCUUGGAAAUUUCAAUUGUCAAUCGAUGCAAACUCAAACCAAAAGAGUGUUUUUUUAAAGAAGUACCAUUUCUAAUAGUUGUAUUCUUUCAAAUAAACAUCUUCUUUAUUAAAGAUAGACAAACAAUUAGAUCAUAAUCAGAUUUUGCAGGUUUCAUAUAUGUUUUGGAAAUACAAUCUUAUUUGCUAGAGAUUGUAUUCAGGAUUUGAUAUAUCUUGGGGGUAAUUUGCCAUUAAAACUCUAUAGCAAACCAAGAUUGGUGAGGGCAAAUAAAACCUUAAAGGAAAGUGUGCAAACACGUCUCAAAUCCUAAGAAUUGUUUUUUGUUCUUUGUCUCAAUAUUCUUAAAAUUCGAAAAUUCACCCAUCAUAUACAUACUACAUAUUAUUAAUUUUUGUUUUAUAACUAUAGUUUUUUUUUUACCGCAACUGUAGUUUAAAAACUACAGCACCUCAAUCCCAAAUAAGACCUUAGUAGAAGUGAGCGCGAAAGCCGAUCACCCAACAUUCGCGCUUGUGAGAGACUCCACUCUCUCCACUCCUUCCAAAUCCAAAAUCCUCGACCGUUUCAAAAAUCUCAGCUCGACCGUUUCAAAAAUCUCAGCGUCAAUUUAGUUCAUGUGCGCCACUCUUUUAGCUUUCCAAUUUUCCCGCCAAUUUUCUUUUAUUGUGAUUAAUUAAUUAAUUAAUGUAAAGAUUUUAUAUUAUAAUUUUGUUUGCAGGGAGAUCUAUACAGCCAUGAGAGCUUGGUGAGUACAAUAAAGCAAGUGGAUGUGGUGAUAUCAGCGAUAGGUCGCACUCAAUUAGCUGAUCAACUCAACAUUAUCGCAGCAAAUUGCGAUAACUAAGUACUUGGGAUUUUAAAGAAGCUGGAAAUGUUAAGGUUCUGAUUAACUUAAGUAAAUGCGUUAACUAAUUACUUGGGAUUUUAAAUUCAAAUGUGUGAAUUGUUCUAAAAAAUUAUUUAUGUUUAUUAGUCAGAGAUUCUUUCCUUCAGAAUUUGGAAAUGAUGUUGAUCGCGUGCAUGUCGUUGAGCCAGCAAGAACAUCAUUUGCCACCAAGGCUAAAAUCCGCCGAGCUGUUGAGGAUGAAGGAAUUCCAUACACCUACGUAGCUACGUAGCUUCCAAUUUCUUCGCUGGUUUGUAUCUUUCCAGUUUCUCACAGCCUGAAGCCACAGCUCCUCCAAGGGAUAAAGUGGUCAUCGUAGGUGAUGGAAAUGCAAAAGGCAAAGCGCUUCUGGAUACAUUUACUCUGUACACGCAAUGUGUGGUUACUGUUUGGAGAUAAAAAAGGAGAUUAAUUAAUAAAGAAAAUGAAAUUAUUGAGGGAUUUGCUGAAGAGUUGCGUGCACUCCUCAUUUUUCUCCACCACUCAUCUUACUUGCAAAAUGCAAUGACCAAACUAUCCUCGCCAAAGCCUAGACAUUUACUUGUGUUCAAAGGCCAUUUAAGGGAGACAAGUACAAAAAGUUAUAAAGGAUAGUAAGCAGAAGAAGAAAAUGGAAAGGGGAGGGGGGGGGGGGGAGAAUAAAAAAGGGGAGUGGGGCGUUAUCUAGGGAGGAUUUUUAUUUUUAUUUUUUUUCCUCUCUUCUCCAUGGCAUCUCUUUCUCUCUUUCUCCCACUAAGAAAUUCUUUCUUUUACACUCUAUUUUACUUUUAUGCAAAUUACGCAAAAAACUUUUGGUUUUAAGGCAAUGUUUAUUAAGCCACGUGAAUUUGAAAAAGCAUGAAUAAGGGGAUGAUUUUAACACAUUAAUUCACCAACAUUAAUUGGAAAAGAUCAGUUGCCACUUCGAAUCAGAGUAAUUUCUUCGGCAAUAGCCAAAUAUUGAUAUUUGAUCUUGACACUGUAGUUAAAUCAAUGUAACUGAUUUUGUCAUUUGAUCCCCAGUAAUUUUUAACAAGGAAGACGAUAUUGGGAUUAAUUCUAUCAAAGCGGUGGAUGAUCCAAGAACACUGAACAAAAUACUUUACAUCAGACCCCGUUGCAAUAUCUACUCAUUUAAUGAUCUUGUGUCUCUGUGGGAGGAAAAGAUUGGCAAAGCCCUUGACAGGGUCUAUGUUACAGAGGAACAACUUCUGAAAAACAUUCAAGGUUAGUUAGAACUAUCACUUUAUCAAGUGGAUAGAUGUAACUGACCGAUAAUGGAAAUUUUUUUCCUUCUCCAAAAUGCGAUAGAAUCUAAUCGGUUUCAACAAUCUCAAGAACACCUAUUCAUGGUUGUGUUGUUUGAAAUCUGUAUGUAUCAGUUUUCUUUCUAGAUCUCAGAUUGCUCGCAAGGAUGUCAAGUUUUGAUGAUGCUUGCCUGUUUUCCUGUGUUUACAGAAGCUUCAUAUCCACUCAAUAUGAUAUUACCUAUUGGGCACUCUGCCUAUGUCCUGGGAGAUCAGACCAACUUCGAAAUUGAACCUUCAUUUGGAGUAGAGGCAACAGAGCUUUAUCCAGAUGUCAACUACACUACUGUGGAUGAGUACCUCAACCAGUUCAUAUAAACCUUCUGAGAUGAGCAGCAGGAUCCUAACAAAAAAUUGGGUGGUUUCCAUCCCUGAUUCUAUGGUAUAAAGAUAGCGGCUUUCCCUGCUUUUGCCAGUUCAGUGAAGUUUGUUAGAUGAUGUUAUUUAUACUAUACUAGCAAAGAUCAAGUUGCCUUUCUUGUCAAGAAGCCAAGCUCUGGCAUUGGUUUAUGCUAGUUUUUCACACUAAUAUUGGUAUUCACUAAUUUUUUUUUUUCAUUUCACACCGCCAUCAUCAGUGGAGAUGCCCUCUUGUAUGGUACUAACUUUGAUUUUCCUUAUGCUUCACUUGCUGUCUCUGCAGAUUCGUAAAAGAUCAUUCAUGGAUAAGAUCAGAACAUCAAUUUGAUACAGUAUGCAUUGAGAACUCCCACAUGAUUCUUGUUCUAGUUCUGGUUAGACAUGAAACAUGUUACAGUUCCAUAACUUGAGACAUUGUCAUUCAACAAUUAUCAUCACAUUAAAACAGUGGCCAAUCCCUAACAGCUACCUUUUGACUCUUCACAUUUUUUUUCUGCAUUUUAUGCGCAUUAAUUAUCUAGACCUAGACUUAUUACACUUCUCAGCCUGGCCCGUUGGACAGUGAGUGAUGAAACAAAUUUUUUUUCAUGUUUAUUACUUUUUUUGCAUUCAAAAUGAUAAAACUGCAGAGGUUGUUGCAUGCACGUCAUUUGUUAGUAGGGGUAUCAAUUUAUGAACGUAUGAAGUAUCUCUUCUGCACCGGCAUCCUCCUUAACUGUCAGUAGGAUCACAAUAAGUCGACCAACCAUCUACCGUAUGGAUUAUCUAUAAAUUGAAAUUGGUGUGUAUUAUGGAUCUGUCACUCUGCUGCUUCUGUUUUCUUUUCUAUUUUUACCAAGAAAGAAACAUUGUUAAAACUGAAUGGUUGUUAUCUCGUCUUGUUGUAAUGUUGUGUAUGCUUUCUAGAAAAUAAUGAAGUGCCAAAUAUGAAAAUACUAGUGGCUACCUUACCAUCCUUAAUAAGUUGUCUGAUUGUCACCGUCAACAAUCACUCUCAGCAACUCAUAAUCCAUUUAAGCAUAUUAUAAAAUAAUCAAUUUUGUAUUUGCACCAACUUUUAGUUUUAAAUGACAAUUUCGUUGAUCCCCACACUUCUGUACUAAUCAAAUCCACUGAAACUGGACUUUUUUUUCUUUUUUUUUAUAAUUACAUCGAUUGCAUUGGCUAUUGCAGGGAAAAGACUGCCUCUACAGGGAACUAAACUUUCAGAAUUGAUCUUAUGAGGGUUUGAAUAUGCUCUCGUACUAGGUCAAUGGCCUAUUGGUUCGAGACCAUUCACAAAGAAAGAAAUGAGUUUUGCUUGUAUAAAUGAAAGAAAUCCAAAUGAUAACUAAUGUAUAGUGGUACAUGAGAAAAAUAAUUUCAGCCCCUGUGUAAAGUCAAAAAGAGAAAAUAUUAAAAGAAAGGAUAAUGUCAUUGAGUUCGGUGAAGUGAAAGAAAAUAAAAAACAUGGGAUUUAGUCAAACUUAGUGUCCCAAUCAGCAGAAAAAGGUUUUAGAAACUCACCUCAAGUUAAGCCAACUAUUAGGAGCUUUAUUUAAUCAUGGCUUUCUAAUGUAUAGUACUCCAAUACUAAACGAGGGCUACCUCUACGCUUGCAAAUGUAAAUGAAAUUGAGUUCGUGACGCACAAUGAAGUGAGCAAAAUGAGUUGAGAUCUGAGAAUAUAUUAAAGAAAAUAUGAAUCAAUGAAUUUUGGUUAAAAAAAACAAAUGCUGGUUCUUCAAGACCUGCGUGUAUUGUGUAAGUUUUGUUAGGAGAAGGAAAGCAUUUUGGUCUAAAACGCACUAAAUCGGAUUCAUUUGCUUGAUAUCUAAUAAGGGUGAAUUAACCACUCGCCCACAGCAAUUCAAGUACCCAAAAAAGUUUUGUGGGGGCUAAAUUUCUUCUUUAAUUAUAAAAAAUAAUUGAACGGAGGAUAAAAAUUUAGGCCAUGUAUAACAAUAACUAAUAUAAACUAGUCCUAAUAAUAGUAUAAUUGUAAAUAUCAGUUGUAGUCUCAUACAAUAUAAGUUUAUAGAUUAUAAUAUCGGCAUAAAAAGAAAAAUGAUAUCUGACGGUCAAUCAAUAAAAGGAUAAAAACUUUGGAGUAACAUACCACAAAGUCAAUGUAGCUGGACAGUGAAUAUAAUAUGUAAACAAAUUUAAAUGGGAUAAUACCAUACGGUACAUACAUAACAUUUUAAAACUGAAUUAAAAAAAUAAAAUUAAAACUGAAUUAGAAUUCGUAUGUGUAUCCAGCUACCUUGCCACAGUUGUAAGGUACCCUAACUUUGCAACAAUUUCAUCCUUCGUGCAUUCGGUCACAAAGUCCAAAUUAGGCACGUUUAAGAAUCGAACUGAAAAACUAAAAAAAAGAAUCCGGCGAUAUUUGCGAACCGGAAACGAGCCAGCGUUAUGCUUAUGUCAUUUCAGAGAUAUCAACAGUCGUGCUUUCAGUCCUUAAACCUCAAGGGCAUUUUCGUCCUUUCACUCAAGCGUGAAACUGCAUGUAAGAACUGCUUCGCUUACACGCUCCAUGCACAUUUAAAGGCACCACUGUCGGAUAAAAAAUAUCCAUCCAUUUGAUCAUUUCAAAACAAAACGAAAAAAAAAAUCUCAGUAAUUGAACUGAACGAGUCUCAGAAAUGGCAUCGAAAAGUAAGAUUCUAUUCAUCGGCGGGACAGGGUAUAUCGGUAAAUUCACUGUCGAAGCGAGCGUAAAAGCCGGCCACCCGACGUUCGUGCUCGUGAGAGAAUCCACAAUCUCUGGUCCUUCCAAAUCUCAACUCCUCGAUCACUUCAAAAACCUCGGCGUCAAUCUCGUCAUAGUGCGUUUUCAUUUUUCUCUUUUCUUAAUUUUUUAUUCCGAUCAUUUUUACACGUCGAAGUGUAGCAUCUACUACUUAAUAUACAUAAUGAUAUUAUUAUUUUUUAAUUUUUUUGGGUUGCUGUUAUUAUUAUGCAGGGAGAUGUGUUGAAUCACGAGAGUUUGGUGAAGGCGAUUAAACAAGUGGACGUGGUGAUAUCAACGGUCGGUCACACUUUAUUAGCUGAUCAGGUCAAGAUUAUUGCUGCCAUUAAAGAAGCCGGUAACGUUAAGGUAUAACAUAAUUAAUAUAAAUAUCUUGAAUUCCGAUCAGGAUUGUGCACUCGCGAACACGUGGUGAUUUAUUCUUGGUGUGGAGCUCGCUGUAGAGUAGAGCUCCCAGUUCAGCUAAUAAACACCCCGUCACAUGCGCAAUUGCGCCUCAAAAUAAUUUAAUUGAUUAAUUAAGGAUAAAUACCAAUGGCAUGAAAGCAAUUAAAAUUAGUUGAUGUUUAUAAAUUAUUUAUUACUCAGAGAUUCUUACCAUCGGAAUUUGGAAAUGAUGUUGAUCGAGUUGAAGGCGCCGUAGAGCCAACAAAAUCGACGUAUGACGUAAAGGCGAAAAUCCGCCGAGCCGUUGAGGCAGAAGGCAUUCCGUACACUUACGUAGAAUCUUAUUGUUUUGAUGGCUAUUUCCUCCCCAAUUUGUUGCAGCCUGAGGCCACUGCCCCCCCUAGGGAUAAGGUUGUCAUCUUAGGCGAUGGAAAUCCAAAAGGUAAUAUAAUUUAAUUAAGCUCUGUUUGUUUGGUAUGUAUUUCGGUGUUAAUGUUAUUGUCUGUUGUACAAUGGAUGGUCUUGCUUGGUACUGUUGUUGGAGAGCUGCAGUGUUUUGAUAAACACCUCUAUCCUUAGCUUUCAAGUUAAGUUGAUUUUAUACAACACUUGUUUAAUUCAAAACUUGUAAUAUUCUUACUACUUUGAUAAAAAAUAUUACGAUUAAAGCAUUAAUGGCACCAUAAUACGAAAUGAACCUUAAGUGGUCAUUAUAGAUUUUAAGAUAGAGUUUUAAGUGAUUACCAGAUACUUUAGCUGCUGAACCGCCACAUCAUGGUUGCCACACAACAAUUUCAAACAGAACCUAAAUAACUUCAUUGCAAAACAGUUAAAUGAAUCUAACUUAGUUUCGUCGUUUGAUUUUCAGCUGUUUUUAACAAGGAAGAUGAUAUUGGAACCUACACUAUCAAAGCGGUUGAUGAUCCGAGAACCUUGAACAAAAACUUUUACAUUCAGCCUCCCGGUAAUAUUUACUCAUUCAAUGAUCUUGUGUCUCUGUGGGAGAGAAAGAUUGGUAAAACCCUCGAAAAGGAGUAUGUUUCAGAGGAGCAGCUCCUAAAGAAUAUUCAAGGUUGGUUAAAACUCUCUUUUUUAAAUGUAUUAAAGAGAGCCGUAUAUUCUCUGCCGUAAAUGUCAUUGAUCCUGUCUUCUCCAAAAUGUUGCAGAAGCUGCACCUCCACACAAAGUGAUAUUAUCAAUUUAUCACUCUGCUUUCGUGAAGGGAGUUCAAACCAACUUCAAGAUUGAACCAUCUUUUGGAGUUGAAGCCUCGCAGCUUUAUCCUGAUGUCAAGUACACUACAGUUGAUGAGUACCUCAAUCAGUUUGUGUAACCCUUCGCUGUUUCCAGCUGCAGCUUGCAGGAUCUUGGACUGUUGGUAAAUAAAUAAUUGGCUUGUUGCCAUCUUUGGUUUUAUAUGUAAAAAUUAUGGUUGUUGGCCUUACUUUCUUCUGGUUGUCCAUGGAAUUUGUUAGACCAUAUUAUGUUUGCUAUGUCAGUGAUCAAAUGAAGUAGACCAUGUACUUGAUUUGAGAGUAGUAGUUAUAAAGCCAUCAUGAUCAGGUGGGUGCGUGGGUUGGGCUUCUAUUAGGGUGCGUGUGUUGGGGGGCUUCAGGGGCUUGUGAUAUGGGUUCGACAGCCCCUAACGGGCAGUCAUUAUAAAAAUGAUUAUAG
rnacentral:lncRNA from 1 species